UUUUUUUUUUUCAGUUUACCAAACACAAAAAUGACCAUCAGUUUUUUUUCACAGUGGCUUUUUUUAAAAUCACCUCAAUCCCAAACGGGGCCUUAGUAAUCACAAAUACUUAUCGAAAACUAGACAACAACCUUCACUAAGUUUUUGUGCUGCACUUUCGACAUCAUUGCCACUUCCCUCGCAAACCGCUCUUCUCUCUUGGCAAUCUGCUCUGGGGUUUCUCCUCUAUGAACAUUUUUUACAGCAACUUUUUGACUCUUAUAUCUAGAACAAACAAACGCAACCACCAAACAGAUUAAGAACACAACAGAACAGAACAUCAUCGUUGUAACUCGACACGAAAAACACAUAUUCGGCAUCAUAAACACCAUAAUUGCAGAACACCAAAUCAAGUUUUGAUCUUUGAUUAGUUCUGCAAAAACCCAACUCAAAUUUGCAUUUAUAUUUAACAAGAUCUAAGGCAUCAUAUUAAAUUGCUAAACUUGAGAGACCAGAAAUUCAGAAUUUAAGACAAACAAAAGAUGUUUUGGAUCGAUCAGCCACUUGGCAUCCAAAUCGAAAUCCCCAACUGAAUAAACCCCAUUACCAGAUCCCAUAAUUUUCUCUCUCUAAAAUUCAACAAGAACAAAACAAGAACAACAUACACUGACUAAUUAACCAAAACAAAGGGUACCCUUUAUUUGUAGGACCACAUUUGAAGUAAAGAUGAAAGCUUUGGUCUGGAUAAAAAUGGAAAAAAUUAAUAAAAUCAGCAGACUUCGUAUGAUUGGAGAGGGAGAAAGAUGAAGACUUUCUAUAAUAAAAGGACUUGCUUGGUACUGUAGGUUUCAGAAAACAGACCCAUCCCCGGAAUCACGGUUGAGGAUCCUACAAAGAAUUUAGCACAAGAUUGUUUGCCCUCCCACUUCCGGUGCCCUCUCAUGUCCUUCUGUUUUGUGUGGUCACGAUUAAGCCAUAUCAAUAUUUUAUAUUGUUUUUUUUAUAGAGAUAAUAAGAUAAAAAUAAAUAGUAAUAUAAAAUAUUGAUGUAGCUUAACCGUGACCAUACAAACAGAAGGGUACAUGAGGGCACUAGAAGUGAGAGGGCAGACAAUCCUUGUCCAAAAAUAAAAUCCCAGAGGCACCCACCAACAACCCUACAAUAUAAAAAGGAGGUGGAUUUUCUGCUCUCUCAUUUCCAUACUCUUCCCAUUCCCUUCUGUUUGUGUUAUCACGGUUAGGCCACGUUAACAUUUUAUAUUCAUAUUAUUUUUUAUUUUAUUAUUUUUAUAAAAAAAAUAAUAUAAAAUGUUGAUGUGACUUAAUCGUGACCACACAUCACAGAGGAGAUGAGGAAAGUAUGAAAAUAUGAGGCAAGACAAUCCGCCUCCAUAUAAAAAUGGUCACUGAUGAGAGCUCUAUCAGUGGGAGUGGAUUAGAUUUAUUAUUGGGAAUUGGGGAGAGAGAGGAAUCAGUAGAAGAGCAAGCAGAUAGAGUUGAGCAAGGCAGAGGAGGAUGAAACUGAGAGGAGGUGGAGAUUUGGGAACUUGGUGGCGGCGAUGGUGGCGGUGGGCGGGUGGGAAGUGAGUUCAGUUGAGAUUAAUUUAUUGGCCUUCUCCGCGAGUGGAAUGUUAUUGUCUUGUCUUCUAGAUCCAAAGAUAAACUAGUCUCUGUCAGAGAAUAGUGUGUUUCCUUUGUUUUUCUUCCUUUCUACCUCAUUUUCCCUUAUUUAUACUAGCAAGAAUAAAAAUUUAUAAUAAGAGAAAAUGUAAAUUGAUUUCUAAAUUUUUUUUCUUUAUGAUAUUCAAAUGAUUUUGCCUUGCUGAAUGAGACUGUUCAUAUCUUUGACUACUAGUUCUGAAUAAAUAUUUCUUUAACUAAAAGUUUACAAGGCAACUGAAAUGAUUACUUAGUUAUAAGACUUUGGAAAAAAAAUUACAAGUAUUUUGUGUGCAAUUUACUAUAUUAUGCAUAACUUUUAAUAUAUUAAUUUAUUUAAGUUAAUUUGGUCUUUUAACUUUUAUUUGGUUGAUUAAAAGAGUUUUGUUGAUAGGUAGUUUAGAUUAUAAUAAAAUAAAAUAAUUACUAAAUAAAUAGUUUUUUUAAUAAUAUGAUAUUAUGUACAUUAAGUGGUGGAGGGAGUGAGUUAAGCUUCACAAUGAGAUAGUCAUAAUAAUUUGUUCAAAUUUAUCUUAAUGAUAAUCGAACUUAAGACUUCUUAUGUAUGAGAGAUUUUUCAAUUUACUAGAAACACAUUGUAAAAAUACAAUUGGUUGGAAACUUAAAAAAUACAAUUUCAAACUAUUUUAUUAUGACACUUGGUGUAUCAAGUCAUGUUUAGUGUUCACACCACACUGAAAAUUUUCUCCUCACUUACAAGUCAAAAGGAAUACUAUUAAAUCGUAAUAUAAGUGACUACUAAAUAACUAAUUUAUAUAUUUGAUUUUUAAAAGUUUAGGGGAAAGGAAAGCUAAUCCAUCAAGGCCAAGGCAUAUAACAAGUAUCCUCGAGAACUUACACAAGGGGUCUUAGUCCUUUUUUUGUUUUUACAGAUCUUGCACAAAAAAUGGUUGCUUACAAUGGAACUCAAACAUAGACCUUGCAACUCAACCAAUCCUCAGUGGAAAAUACACAUGUAUUUGAGCAAUCUUUUAAUUAAUUUAAACUAAAUUAUCGAGUCAAAACUCCAUGCAAUAAACAUAUUGUUUUAAUUAAAUUAUUCAUAUACAAUAAUAAAAUGUCUAUUUAUAUCAUAGAUUCUAAGAUUUGAUAAAGAGAAUAUUUCCAAGAUGUGCAUAGACAUAAAACACAUACACACUACUCUAACUAAAUUAAUCAAGAACAAUUCUGCAAGAAAAUGGAAGAUAUGUGACUUUUAUUUAUUUCCUAGAUUCUAAGAAGGAUAAGAAAAUGUUGUCGGAGAAAAAGAAAGGUAAACGGGCGAUAAGAAGACGAAUACAACACAAUGAUACAAUUGGGGCUUCGAGAAAGUGCCCUUUUGGUAUCCACUAAGGCCAAAAACCCAUCACAAUAAUUGAAUUACCAAUGUCUUAUUAGAAAGUAAAACACAUUAUUUUGGCGAUUUUGAAACUUGAAUGACAAAUAUGACAUAGACAAUAAGGAUGUGUGACUCAGAUACCAGGUUGGAGGAAAAUGGACUGAAGUACAAAGGUUAAGGCAAGGAGAUAUGUGAGAGGUAUUACAUGAGUUAAUUAUCAAAUUAUUAUGACAUAUUUUAUCGCGUUUUUUAUGAGAGAUUUUUUAGUGUGCUGAAAACACAGCUCGAUACAUCAAGUGUCAUCACAUAACUGAUUGGAUACUUGAAAAAAAUAAAAUUCAACUUGUAUGAUGACACUUGAUUUAUCGGGUUGUAUUCCGGCACACUAAAAAGUUGUCAUCUCCUAGUUCAGAUAUACUGCUCUUUAUUUUAAACACAUCUUUGUACUCAUUAAAAGACAAAAAGACAAGCAAAUAUUUUGGUCCCAGUAUGCAAGAACCAUACAAUAUACUUAGAAAUAUCAAGCAUCCCGUUGGAAAUCAACUGUAAGGCAAAUAUUAUCAACGAAACAAAAGAAGGAAUUGCACAAUUCAUUUGGUGAUUAGGCGAACUAACAACAAAAAAAAUAUAAAAAAUAACGAGUCAAUAAUUUAAACACUGAACUAAAUGAUCCUUACGAAGAUGUGGGUUGUUGAAGAGUUAGAUCAUCACUUUCCUUAACUACACCAAACAACAUACUCCAAAUGGCUUUUGCAAUCAUUGUUUUACCUAUACCGCCCAUACUUCAAAUUCCAAUUAUUUGAACAUCAGGUGAACCUCCAACAUCCAAGUAUUUAGUACUGAAUUCUUGCACGCAAAAAGUUGUUCCAACUGAGUGCUUGGUUUCUUUUAAGUCUGUAGUUUUCAGUAGUCUCCUAAUGUCUCCAACAAUUUUCUCGAUAAACAAUCAUUGAUGUCUCGCGGUUAAAAUUCAAAAUUAUACAAAAGUAAGAUUCAUCAUGCAACUGCAAGAUUUAUAUCAACUAAAGGCUUUUGAUUCAAAAUGGUCCCUGAGAUUUGCAUCAUCCAUAAGUUUGGUCCCUGAGAUUUAAAAUUAAUAGAAGUAGUCCCUGCGAUUGUCCACCAUCCAUGAUUUUAGUCCUUCCGCUAAAGUUUUUGGCCAGAAGUUGGGCAAUUUUCAAAGCUUCGUAACUCAAUCGUUUUUUAACCAAAUUCGACCCAUAAUAUAUCAAAAUGAAGAUAGGAAAGUGUAGAAUAAGAUUAUAUCUAUUUGGAAGCCCAAUCAAUGGAAAACUGGAAAACUUGCCGGAAACUCGCCGAAAACUGGGUAAAUUUUAAACAUUCAUAACUUCUUCAAUACUCAACGAAAUCAAGUGAUUCAAAAACAAAAACCAUACUUCUCAACAAGAAGAAGAGAAUGGUACCUUUUUAAAUGGCUAACUCGCCUUGGUUUGGCCGGAAAACGGCUCGAAAGUGGCUGUUGAAAAACGAGUUAGCAACUUUCGAGCCGUUUUCCGGCCAAACCAAGGCUUUUUAGCCGUUAAAAAAGGUACCAUUCUCUUCUUCUCGUCGAGAAGUAUGAUUUUUGUUUUUGAAUCACUUAAUUUUAUUGAAGACGUUAUGAACGUUUAAAGUUUAUCCAGUUUCCGGCGAGUUUUCCAGUUUUUCCUCGGACCAGUCAAUUUUGAGGCUAUUUUCCGACCAUCGUCGGCAACCAUUGGGCUUCCAAAUAGAUAUAAUCUUAUUCUAUACUUUCCUAUUUUCAUUUUGAUAUAUUACGGGUCGAAUUUGGUUAAGAAACGAUUGAGUUACGAAGCUUUGAAAAUUGCCCAAACUUCCGGCCAAAAGCUUCAACGGAAGGACCAAAAUCAUGGAUGGUGGACAAUCUUAGGGACAACUUCUAUUGAUUUUAAACCUCAGGGACCAAACUUAUGGAUGAUGCAAAUCUUAGGGACCAUUUUGAAUAAAAAACCUCAACUAAAUGCCUCAUUCAUCAUGAUUAGAUAUUUUGGUAGCGAAAACGUUUUGAAUAAGUUAGAUUUGAUCGAGAUGACUAGUUAAGUUCAAUUUAGCCGUGUUUCUGAAAUGCAUUGUAACCGUAUUAGUUAAGCUCAGUUAGAUUGCUCAUGAACUAUAAGAAGGCGUUUGUUUGCCCUCACUAAACCGUAUUAUAGCUUUUAGUCAUACAAUUAGAAAUCCAUUAGAAUUAGUAUAUGGGUUUGACAUACGGAGGAUUCGUCCUUCACGCAUUACCAAAAGCUCCAAAGUUUUUUCCUAUAAACGUAUAAAAUCAAAGUCUGAUCAUAAUCUCCUUAUUUUUGGUGAAUUAGUGAGUCUUAGAAGCUAAUACAAGACAUUGGAAUUAAAUUUAGAGGAAAAAUUAAAAUACCUGUCCGCUGUGGUUUUAAGAUUCCGGCCACACAAAUCUGCAGAAGCCUUAAGAUCCUUCUCCACUGCUCGACCUCAUCUGGAUCUUCAUCCCUUUCAUGCUAACAAAGUUAAAAGAAUAAGGUAAAGUGAGACACCUAAUAAAAGUUUAGGUGGUAAAGUGAACAAAUGAGCAUAUAGAGUGAAGUAAAAUUUUGUCUACAUAAGUGUCAUAGAAAUGCCUUUAAUAUUUUUUACAUAUAGAAAAUAAAUAGGGUUAAUUACAUCGAUGUUCCCUGAAUUUGUCAUUUAUCUUCAUUUUCAUUCUUAAACAUUUUAUUUGUUUUAUAUGAUCUUCAAGCUCGCUAUUGCAUGACUUUUUUUUUUAUAUCCUUUUCGUCAACUUCAUCUAUUUUUCUAUUAAGUAGAGAUGAUAAAUUUAAAAUUCAUCCCACAACCUAAAAAAUGGGAAAAAGGAGGUGGAUGUACAAAAUUCUUGCUAUGCCCUCUAUAUUUAACAGAAAAAUAAAAAUAAAUUGGUCAAAAAUAGAUUUUGUUAGAUUAGUCACUAACGGGGUUCAAACUCACACCGUCAUGCAAGAUCUUAACUCAUUUCCACCACUAUAGUAAAGGGCCACUUGCAACCAAAAAAUAAAUUGAAUUAAUGGAUAUAAUUGAAUCACCACAUGAGAGAGUUUGAGAACCACAAUAAGAAAAAAAAAAAAGAAAAACUAUUCUAGAACGAAAGUAAAAUUCUUGACAACAAUGUUGUAUAUUUGAAAAAUAGUUCAAGCAGAUUAAGAUGUUAGCACAGAGUCAUUUAUCUCGUUUAUUGAACAAACAACGAGGACAUCAAUGCCGUUUUUUCUCUUUUGAAAUUCCUAAACAACAAAAUUGAGAUUUCUUUCACAAAAAUUACCAUAAAUUUUGACAAAAUUGACGGUCGAAUUAUAAAUCCAGCAGGCAAAUCGAAAACAAUCACAGGAGCUUAGAACACACCACAUCAACAUUUAGCAAGCAGUCUCAUAGGAAAUCCCAAUCAAGAUAAAACUAUUCAACAAUUUAUUACAUUUCGUUCAUAUAAGAGCAUGGUUAGGAGGAUUAUUUAAUUGACGUUAUAACAUCUUUCUACAAAGAAAAAAAUGAAAAAGAAAAUAGGGCCUCGGCACCCGUGGCAAAACCCAACAUGGAUUAGAGUACGUUUCAGCCUGACCUUCUGUAAAAGCUAUAGGCCACAGCCACUGUUGCCACUGCUCCAACCACGGCAGCAGCUGCGAGAACAUCGCUUUGCUCCCAGUUCCCAAUCAAGCUUGACAGCUUCCGUAAGGCAUCCUUUGUGGCACACGACUCUGUGGUUUCUUUCGACUUCAUUUCCUCACUUCCACCGUUCUCCUCCAAACUUACUUCUUUGCAGCAUGUAAAUCCAUCACUAUUAGCACCCUGGCAACAGCUUGAAAAGUUCUCAUUAUUCUCAAUAUGAUUGCCCUUUUCUUGGUGAAUCUGAUUGCUAUUUUCAUGUGGCUUCUCCUUGAUUUUCUUAUUUUCUUCUCCAUUUGGAAGUUCCCGGUCAUUAAUUUGUUCAGCUUCAUCAGAAAAUGCUCCCAUUUGGCCUCUGUAAGGAAUGAAAUUGAAUUUCGUGUUCAGCUAUUUAAAGAUUCAACUCUUAAGUUUCUUCAAUGCAGUUACAUCCAAUUUAGAAACAUAUACAGAGUAAUACUGUUGUAUCCAAUUCUUUUGUGCUUUCUCCACAGAAGUUCCUCGAUGUUAUUGUAACUCUAUAUCAAUAAAUCUAUCAUACAAGACUAGACAUAACCAUCAAUUGAAAAAUAUGACAACACAAGCUUCCGUCCAGUGAAAUUUUCAUCCAAAGACAAUAGGCAAAACCGAAAAUCUACAAACCUCCAAAGUCGUUCUAUAAUCUCUCCCUUCCCAAUAUGCUCAUCAAGCAAUUCCGGCACAUCAUCAGGAGUGACGUAGCCAUACCUGCAAUUAAUAAUACAUAAUAUUCAAAUUUCAUCGAUCCCAAUACGACAAAAUUUUAGAUUGUUAUGAUCCGAAUAUUACCAAUGGCCUGUUAUGCUUCCAUCUGAACCUGGGCUGUAGAUAAUCAAGUUUCCAUUGUGGCCUCCAGUGUGAAAGCAAGCAGCAACAAAUAUCUGAUUCGUCAAUCCUCGUAGCUCAGCCUCCUCUUUGAACUUAUUAAUGAGAACACAUGCACUAUCACGAUUCCAUUCCUCUCGACUACCAUGUGCACAUACAAAUACAUAGGAGCCAGUCAACGACUCUUGCACUCCGGAAGCCCAUGGUUUGUGAUUCACAAGGACAUCAUCAACAAAGCUGCCCACAUCCGACUCUUUCAAGCCCCUUUGACAACAAACAAAAACAACCUCAUAAUCACAAAAAGGGAUUUACAGGCAAGGAAUUAGUCGUAAACUGAGCCAUUAAAUUCAAAGGAAAACUAAUGAAAAGAGCUUGAAAACUUUGAGUUUUAACGAUAAGGACAAAAUAAAGGGUAAAGUGAAUAGUACCAGGAUUGACUUUUUAGUGCAAAAAUGUGGUUUUUCGUUAAAGUGAAAAGUACCAAGAGCUUUUCGUUAAGGUUCCCUAAAUUCAAUUUCUACAACUAAUUUCAGAAGCUAACACACAUCUAAUCAUCUAUUUAGGUCAGUGGAUUCAUGUUGGUUAUGGAAUGGGCCCUCCAUUAUGAAUUAAUUACGGUUUGCCAUUGUGUGUGUUAGUGUGGGCCGUGCUUAACAGCUGGGUUGGGCUGCUGCAUUUGGGCCCAGGGUGCAGCUCUCACGGGUUUUGGGCUGGGUUUCACCGAAAUAUCAAAUGACUCUUUUGCCCCCUUCAGUCCUAAUCCGACGGCCACCAUUUGCGGCGUUUGUGGUCUGCAAUUCGGUGGGGGGGGGAGGUGGGGUUAGCUUGCUUUCAAUCUCGUCAAGGAGUUCGUGCAGAGAGGCAGGGGAUGACAUCAAGUUUAGGGUGUGCACAGUGAGAGAGAAGAGGGUAGGAGCUAGAGAGAGGGGGGUGGGUUCUGUCCGCGGACGUAGGUUGCAGAGAGACAGAGAUGGGGAAAAGUAUGGGGGUGGGGUUGAGGGGAACGUGUACACAGAGAGAGUGAGGAAGGGACAUAGGAGCUAGAGGUAUGGGAAAGGAGUCGAGGAGUUGAGGAGUCGAGGGGUUGAGGGGUUGAGGGGUUGAUUUGUCAGGGGCUGCUGCAUCCUUCCUAUUCAAAAGGUAACAAAUAAUUUUCAAUUCAUUCUUUACCCUUGAAUGUGGAUUUACUGUUCGGGGUUGAGGAGGACAUCAUAUAUCUUCCCUUUUUCUGAAUUUUAGUUCUGUCUUCUUCGACUCUUAUAUCUUCCCUUUUUCUGAAUUUUCUUUAUUUCUCAUCCUUUAAACUUUGUAUUUUUUUUAAAUAUUUAUUUUUUUGGUGAUGCAGAUAGAUGAACAUGUUCAAAGGGGAAUCAUGAACCACAGAUCACUGCAUCCGAAUAUAGUUUGAUUCAAAGAGGUCAGUGAUCAUAAACUAUUUUCAUUUUGUAUUUUAAGAAUGAAUUUGGCAAGUUUUGUUUGAAUUUUGUAUAAGUAUCUGCUGAGGGUGGGUGGAUGAAGACAGAACAAACUAAAUUUGGCCUCUGGUGUGCUUAAACUGGUACGGGGGAGGGUUAGAACUUUGAGCCCAUGAUGCAGUAGGACUAGAGAAAUGCGGCAAUCCACCACUUGCAGAAUUAUUGUCAAAAUAACUCUGCUAAAAAUAUGAGCUAUGCUUCCUGCACUUUGUUUUUACUGUGAAGUGGAAAUAGUCUUUAGCGUGGCUUAUUUGUGAUAAUUGAUAAAGAGGUUAGUGUUUAAGACUUGAGAGUAGUGCGGUGUCUUUCUCGCUGGUUCUGAUGAUGGAGUACACGGCUGGGUGAGAACUCUUCGAGGGAAUAUGAGGAUGAGAUAAAGUAGUUUCAAAUACAGGGAAAAUUUCAUUGGAAAUGAUUUUAGUUUAGUUUCAGCUAGGGAAAGUUAGGUCUGAAGCAUUUUUACAUAAACAGUCGGUCAUAAUAUAACUAAAACUUACAUACUUUUUCGAUUUAAUUGUUGUUUUGCAUCAGGCAAAGUUUUUCUUCCAGCAGUUGAUAUCAGGAGUUAGUUGCUGUCAUUUGAUGGUAUGUAAUGUGGCACUUUUCUGCUAAUGCGUUGUAUACUGUUAUUUAUUUCUCUUUUGAUAUUGGAAGUGUUGGUUGUAGUAAGGAAAUAAUUCGUUUCAAUAGUAUACGACUUCGGUUUAAUAGUAUAUGACUCAGUUUUUGAAUAGCACUCAGGUGGUAUUACGACUUAGUUUUCUAAAUGCCAAUAACAGCUCUAGAUUUUGUCUCAAGUCAAGUAUUCUUACUAAUGUAGCAUUUUGUUGGCACAUCAGUAUGUUUUGAUUGUUUCUCUGCUUGAAUAGAGAAUUGUUAACGUCCGGGUGGGAACGUGGGUCAGCUCAUGUUUUAGUCUCUCCGUCGUAAGCAAUUUUACAUGGUACUCUUCAAUGUAGCUAUAGGUAAGACAACACUCUCAGUAUUCCAUAAUCAAACCACCAUUUGAACUUUUUUUCAUCCACCAAGUUAAGCUUUUAUGUGCCAUCUUGAAUAGUUAUAAGUUAUUGCUUCAGAUUACUCCAGUGCGACAUUGUUGUUCUCUUCCUUACCUCUCAAGCUUGCUUAAUAUACCAAUUCUUAUUACUGUUGUAUUGUUAAGAAAUACUCAAUUGCGGAUUCAGUUCAUCGUUUUGAAUCGGAUAAAAAUUAACCACUCAGUGGUUAAUUAUCUAAAUGGGCGGUAGGUCUCGGGUUCGAGACUUGUGAGCAGUCUCUCCAUAAAUGGGGGUAAGGCUAGCCGACAUUCACCUCUCCCAGACCCUGCGUAAAGCGGGAGCCUUGUGCACUGGGUACGACCUUUUUAGUGGUUAAUUAUCUAAAUCCUAUAAAUUCGGAUAAAAAUUAAAGCAACUACAGAACAAAAACCUCAAGAAAUCAACGCAAAUUUACCUGUAUUUGAUCAUUUUUGGGCAAAUCAACACAUCGCCGUCGCAAAACUCAGUUCCUUCGCAUCCUUCAAUUACUGUCAACGUCGUCUAUCAAAUACCAAGAAAAAAUGUGAGUAAUGGAGUCAACUCAGCUCAACACCAGAACUCAGUAGCUCCAGGAAAUAAGAAUGGUAAGAAAAAGCAAUCAGAAACGUCGACGAAUUGAGCUGGAAAAUGGACCUUAAUGGUGAAGUCGUUCUCGCGAGCUUUGAGAGCGGAUGCGAAGAACUUAGGGAGUGGAUCGGACUCAGGGCCUUCGAUGCGCCACGGCCAGGCCUCCAGGGUCUUGUAGCAAAGGAAAACGUGGUGAUAGCUCAACAGUGUAUCGUCGUCAGUGUCUUCAUCAGACUCAUAUGACUUGGUCUUAUAGUUGUCCCAAAUAGUAAGAGCAUCAGACAAAUCCCAUUUUACAAUAUCCACUCCUGUUUUGUUCAGCUUAAUUAUAUUAUCUCCUCCAUAAAAUCUUGCUUUUACAAGAACUAUGUCGCCACCUUUCAAAUUGAGCUUCUUGUUUGAAAGAUUUCCCAACCAAAGAUAAUAUUCAUGGGAAGCAGUUAUGGCGGCCUUAAUUGUCCAGAUGCUAAAAUGAGUUCGUUGGGUACGAUUAACAACAUCAAUGCAUAGAUCCCCAGUAGAGUUGGAGUUGUCUGAAGAAUAAAUGAUGCCCAAAGCCAACCCUCCUAUAUAAUCAAUACUUGGCGGCACUUCAAAUUUGACAGUUUUAUCCUCUCCCGCGACAUAGGCUAACCAGUUAGGAAUAUCAUUUCCAGAGAGAAAAAUUCCACCAAAUGCAUUUUUCUACAACAUGGGGUGCAAAGUCAGUAUAAGCAACAAUACAAAAAGCAGAGAGAGAGAGAGAGAGUACCAUACCGUUCGGAGGUUCUCCUUAAAAGUAUCAGUGAGACUGGUACACCCUUCCAUUUUAAUGUAAAUUAUCGAACCCAUGUAGUCCAACGAGUUCUUAAAUUUUGGAAUAUCUUGAGUUUGCGGCAGUCUUUCAGUAACAAUAUCCUCAUUUUCGACAUCUCUGAAAUGUCGGACAUUAUUUCCAGUGCAGUGCAGUAAUUCGCUUGCAGUAAAAGCAAACUGUUCGGCAAAUCUGGGAUUUCCUGAAGGUUUGUGCAAUGAUCGAGAAUUAAUACCAGAAGCUGAGAAAGGCCACUGAGAAUGGGUAGCCUAUUAAAACCAUUCCCACCUAGACCUAAAAAUGUUAAAGAAGAUAGACUCCCAAUUAUUUCGAGAACGGCACCAUCUGUUAUAUUGCAGUCACUGAGAUCUAAUACGUCAAUCAUCUUCAGUUGUGCUAAAAAAUGGUAACCCCCACACAAACCCUUACAGCCACUGAGCUCCAAUUUAUUGAGAUGUGGGAGUUUUGAAAAGUCUGGUAAUUCAGUCAGGUGAUGACAGUCGUUAAGAAGGAGAUACUUCAACUUCUUAGGCAACUGUUACUCAAAAAGAGAAAACAAUAAUAAAAAUUCAAAUAAAUAAAAGAGAGAAUGCAUGAUGAUGACUGAUGUUGAUAUUUACAAGGACAUUGAUAAUUAUAUCGUACCAGGUCCGAAUCCUCCCAAACUCGUACGAUCUUGCUGUUGCUCAGGUUUAAAUAAACUAGGUUUCGUUGAUCAAAAUCUGCUGGUAUGGCUUCAAGAGGAAAUCCAAUCCAAUCCAACGCUCUUAACUCCUUGGAAAGAUGUUUGUAGCUUCCAGUCAGCUUUACAUUAGCCAGGUCGAGAAAUUUCAGACGCCACAUCUUCUUAAACGCUUUCGUACUGAAGCUUUGCUCGUCAUCAGAAUGUUCUGGCAAAAAUAAGUGUAGUCCUUCAACUGCUUCUGUUCCCUGUUAGAGAUCCAAAAUAAAAAAGGAUAAUAUUCACACGAAGCAUAGCUGUGAAUUGGAUGAAUGAACUACUAGAAAGGUAGGGCAUACAACAUAAUUAUGUAUUCUCUCUUUCAAUUUACAAUGGAUGAAAGCCUUUUUUCUUAAAAUACACUAUGUACAACAUACAUUAUAUAUAUGCGGAUAUGCGUAUAUACUUCUCUUUAUUUACAUGUACUUAACAUAACAUCUUUUCAUUGCAAAAGUACUUACAGAUUCGUUCCUUAGCACGCUUUUUGCAUCUUCACUAUGCCACAAAUGACUACGUUUUCCCAAUUUCACAGGAGAUUCUGCCCGCACAAUUUCUCUUCCCAUAUCUCGAAUCAAAUCAUGCAUCCUCAAUCUUUUCCUUUCAUCAAUAUAUAGGAGACAUCGAUCGCAGAGUGUGGUAAUUUCUGCUUCUACAGAAAAACGACUACAACCAUCCAAUACUGGAGUGGCCACACUUAUAUGCACUCCAAUAAAGAAAUUAGAUAUGUCUAGGAACACACCCUUCUCAUGAUCAUCACGUAGUCCAUCGUAGCUUAAUUUAAGCGUUUCAUGAAUUUUUCCGUCUGGAAUAUUUCUCAAUUUAUCCAAUGUACUUUCCCAUAUGGUUUUACUCUUUUUCUUAGCCAACAAACGACCAACAACUUUCAGAGCUAGGGGCAAUCCUCCACAAUAAUCAACAAUAUCUCUUGCCAAUUCAAUAUAUUCUUUAUCGGGAUAAUCAUUUCCAAAGGCAUGCCAACUAAGGAGCUCAAAAGCUUCUUUCUCUGUCAUUGCUUGUGCCUUAUAUUUUUUAUCCACCUUUUGUAUAUUCAGCACAUGUUCAUCUCUUGUUGUUAUAAUAAUUCUACUCCCUGGACCAAACGAUUCAUGUUCUAUUGCCAAUUCAUCUAAUUGGUCUGCAUCAUCUAUGUCAUCAACCACGACAAGUACCUUCAUGCUUCCAAGUCUUUUCUUGAUCUCUUUGGUCCCUUCGGCAACACUGCUUACCUUAAUGUCAGGCUGUUUUAAAAUAUCUCGAAGAAGUUGUUCUUGCAAACUAACCAUCGCUUUCUUUUUACUCCUCACAUCUUCAAGGUAACAUUGACGACUAAAACUAUGCUGAUAAUUGCUACAAACGGCUCUGGCAAGCAUUGUUUUACCUAUACCGCCCAUACCACAAAUUCCAAUUAUUCGAACAUCAGGUGAACCUCCAACGUCUAAGUAUUUAGUACAAAAUUCUUGCAAGCGAAAAGCCAUUCCAACUAAGUGCUUGGCUUCUUUAAAGUCUGUGGUUUUCAGUAGUCCUUUGACGUCCCCAACAAUUUUCUCGAUAAACACCCCUUCACACCUACGAGUAGAAAUUCCAAAUUACGAGAGCCAUACUAAAUGCCUUAUUCAUAAUGACUAGAUAUUUACAUAUUGAAACAUAUUUGAAUAAACUGGAUUAAUUGAGCUCAAUUCAACCACGUAUCCAAUCUUUGAUUAUAAUGUGAAUACAUUAGAUCAUUGGUGAUUUGACUAUUAUGCAAUUGUAGCUUUCAGUAAUAUAAUUAAGAAUCCAUUACAAUUGGUAUUUUAAAUUGAUAAAGUGUGGAGCAUUUGUCCUUCACACACCCAUAAAAAACAAAGCACGUACCCUGCGCUUCACUUCCUUAAUUUCCACGGAAAUUAUUAUGCAAAUGCUCUACCUUUUAUAAAAUUCAUAUACCAAUUGUAAUAAAUUUUUAUGUAGGGACCAAAAUUACAGUUCUAUUAUAGUUCAGAGAUCAACGAUCCAAUUUUUCUUAUGACAUAUAAAAUCAGAUUCAAUGCCUUAAUUAUAAUAUCUUAAUUUUGGUUGAUUAGUGAAAUAUGGUGAUAUGAAAUUUGAAGUAAACAAAAAAGUAUACCCGUCGGCCGUGGUUUUGAGGUUCCAGCCGGCCAAAUCUGCAGAAGCCUUAAGAUCCUCUCUCCACUGCUUGACCUCAUUUGGAUCUUCAUCCUUUUCAUGCUUCUGAAAUGCUUCCCCAAAACUAUCUUUCUGUUUCCUGACUUGAGAAGGGUCAACGUCGUAGAAUAUUGGACACACUAUCUUCCCCUCUUGAUCUUUUAGGCACCUCAUGAUCUUCGACAGCUCCCUCAGGCACCACCGGGACUCCGCGUACCUCUUCGAGAAGACGAUGACAGCGAUCCUCGACCCUUCGAUUUCUUGGUCAAGUUCACUCUGUAUGUCUUCCCCCCUUCUGAGCUGUUUGUCUAUAAACGUGUUAAUUCCGGCAUUGCGUAACGCAAUGAAGAGGUGGUCUGUGAAGGUGUUGCGGGUAUCUUCGCCUCUAAAGCUCAGGAACACCUCGUACUUCCAGCGGUUUGAGCUCUGCGAGGAAGACGAAGAGGCGGCAGAGCCAGCUCCUUGGGCGGAGCUGCUGGUAUCCAUUGCAGACCGUAGAAGUGCAGCUUGGCUUUCAAAUAACCAAAGUCAAGUCUUUACCCAGUGUCGGUGGCCGUUUUAGAUAUUUUGCAUGGGCCAAUAAUGUCACUGCUGUGUCGAUAACGCGCUCCCACAGUUUAAUUUGUAUAAAUGCUUUACGAUGCAAUUUCCUUUCUUUUGUAGUCUUUUGAGAAUCUGCCGCCCAACUUUGACCGGUUGACGAUCUUAUUGUAUUAUAAGAUGUGCAUUUUGAUUAUCAUCAUUUAAUGUGAUGUAUGUUCAUCAAAUUAUUUAUUAUUAUUAGAUGAGUUUAAAUUUUAAGAUUUGUACUUAUGCACUACCCACCCGAAUCUCGAAAUUCAAACACAUUUAACGAUGAUAAAUAGAAUGAUAAACAUAUAUCAUACUAAAUAAUGGUGAGCAAAAAUGCUCCCGUAUUUUAAGGGUGGUGCGCAGCACGUUCCAACUGUUGGAGUCAGUAGUAUCAACGGGAAGAGACCUCAUCUCCAACAACCCAUCUUAACAAAAAAUGCAGAAAAUUAAACUCCAACAGGCUAACUAAAUGACUCUUUAUUUUGUGAACGGUAACUAACUAAAUUUAACCAGGAGACAUUCGUAGCUUACGUCAAAAGGAUCAAUGUUGUAAUAUAAGUAAUUUACUUGCUCAAAAUAAGGAUCAAUUUAGCUACGAAAGCAGGGAGAUGAUCGAGCUCACGAUAGCAGAUUUUUUUAUCCUAUCGUCUUGCAAGGGAAACAAGCUACCAAUUGCUUGCAUCAUCUGAAGCCAUCCAACUAAUGGUUGAAUUUCUCAGUCAAGACUAUGCUCAAGGCAUCAGUGUGCAGGCCAGACUCGACAGCAUAGCCACACUACACAACCUCUCGCGCUGCCAUCAGAUUAUUCCGUCUCUGGUCUCUUCGGGCGUAGUGUUUUCAAUGCUAAAACUGCGGCAUGGAAGCUGUUUCUUUUUGAGACUGUUCCAAUUAUGGUUCGAGAAACAAGCAGUCAAGGAAUAAGUUGAUGGGGUGAGUACAACGGCAUUGAGACUGUUCCAAUUAUGCAGGAAGUUGAUGCAGAAGGAGAAAAAGUUGACGGGGUAAGUACAACGGCAUUGAGACUGGUAGAGGAGAAGCUUGCAAAGAUCAGCAGUGGACGAUAAUCUCGACCAAACUCUGAGCUUUGCCAAGCAGAUUAAGAUGUUGGAACAGCCGUUCAUCUUGUUUAUUGAACAAACGAGGAGGACAACAAUGCAGAAUCAACGCUUGAAUUCAAAGUCCCAACAGGCAAAUCGAAAAUAAUCACAAGAGCUUAGAAAAUACCACACCAACAUUUGGCAAGCAGUCUCACAACAAAUCCCACUAUCAAGAUAAAACCAUUCAACGGUGUGUUGGAACAACAGAUUUCAGUUGUGUAAGCAAUCAACAUAAAGGAACAGUGAAUACUUUUGUAACUAUAUAUGGAUUAGCUUCGGGAAUUCAUCAAACCCUCCGAAAAAGAACGUAUAGUGUAGCUACCAUAUUCUCCUUUCAUAUAAGAGCUUAUUUAAUUGACGUUAUAACACCUUUCUACAAAGAAAAAAAAGAAGAAAAUAGGGCCUCUACACCCAUGGCAAAACCCGACAUGGAUUAGAGUACGUUUCAGCCUGACCUUCUGUAAAAGCUAUAGGCCACAGCCACUGUUGCCACAGCUCCAACCACGGCAGCAGCUGCGAGAACAUCGCUUUGCUCCCAGUUCCCGAUCAAGCUUGACAGCUUCCCUAAGGCAUCCUUCCUGGCACACGACUCUCUGGUUUCUUUCACCUUCUUUUCCUCACUUCCAUUGUUCUGCUCUAAACUUACUUCUUUGCAGCAUGUAAAUCCAUUACUAUUAGCACCCUGGCAACAGCCUGAAAAGUUCUCAUUAUUCUGAAUCUGAUUGCCGUUUUCUUAGGGCUUCUCCUCCAUUUUCUUACUUUCUCCUCCAUUUGGAAGCUUCUGGUCAUUAAUUUUUUCAGCUUCAUCCGAAGAUGCUCCCAUUUGGCCCCUGUAAGGAAUGAAAUUGAAUUUCGAGUUCAGCCAUUUAAAGAUUCAACUCUAUGUUUCAUCAAUAGCAAUCGAGUAAGGACAUGUAUGAUCAAGCUUAAUAAACAAUUUGACAACAGUACCUACUUGACCCCGUCCCCCCUUCCCCAAAACCACCUUUGGUUUGGUUCUAUAAAAAAAAAAAAAUUGUUUGAUUUGGUUCACACGAGUUGUUUGAUUUGGUUCCUCAAUGUUAAUGUAACUCCAUAUCAAUAAUCUAUCUUCCAACACUAUAAGUAAUCAGCAAUAGGAAAAUAUGACAACAGAAGCUUCAGUUCCAGUGAACUUUUCAUCAGCAGACGGUUGGCAAAACCGAAAACACACAAUCCUCCAAAGUCGUUCUAUGAUCUCUCCCUUCCCAAUAUGCUGAUCAAGCAAUUCCGGCACAUCCUUAGGAGUGACGUAGCCAUACCUGCAAUUAUUAAUACCAUAAUAUUCAAAUUCCUUCAUCUAUCCCAAUACAAUAAAUUUUACAUUGUUAUGAUCCGGAUAUUACCAAUGGCCUGUUAUGCUUCCAUCUGAACCUGGGCUGUAGACAAUCAAGUUUCCAGCACACUUGUGGUCUCCAAUGUGAGAGCAAGCAGUAACAAAUACCUGAUUUGUCAAUCCUCGCAGCUCAGCCUCCUCUUUGAACUUAUCAAUGAGAAUAGGUCCACAAACUCCACAUUUUUAUCUCGACUUCCAUGUAGACCUGUAAACGGGUUAGGUUUAUUGGGUUUGGGUCGGGUUGAACCCGACCCGUUAAGUUAACGGGUCACCCGAACCCGACCCGUUAAGCUAACGGGUCACCCGAACCCGACCCGUUAAGCUAACGGGUCACCCGUUUCACCCGUUAACACCCGUUAACAAUUAUUAUUAUUUUUUUUUUGCAUAAAGUUUAUUUUUUGUUAUUAAAACUUUACUAAAAUUACUAAAAUAUCCUCAACUAACGGGUGCUAACGGGUGUUAACGGGUCUAACGGGUUGACCCAAAGUGACCCGUUAUUUAACGGGUGUUAACGGGUUCACCCGUUAGCGACCCGACCCGUUAAGCAUCCACCCAAAUACAAAUAUUAACGGGUUGGGUCGGGUUAACGGGUUGGGUCCAAAAUGCCAGGCCUACUUCCAUGUGCACAUACAAAUACAUGGGAGCCAGUCAACGCCUCUUGCACUACGGAAGCCCAUGGUUUGUCGUUCACAAGGACAUCAAUUGGUUAGAAACCAAGCCAUGUUACCGGCACACAGCCUCAGAGUAAACAAGGAAAAUUUCAAGGUAUCAACACUAAAACUAGUCCAAAACACACUAAAUUAGCUCAAUUCGAGACUUCGUAAAUUGAAAUGGGAAAAUCAUAAACUCUAUCUCUAGUUAGCAAUCAUCGAAAUCUCCUAGUCAAAUAAAGCAAAUCUGAAGAAUCAAAACACCACUCACUGGUUAAUUAUCUAAAUCCUAUAAAUUUCGGUUAAAAUUAAGCAACUACAGAACAAAAACAUCUUUACCUGUAUUUGAUCAUUUGUGGGAAAAUCAACACUUCGCCGUCGGAAAACUCAGUUCCUUCGCGUCCUUUAAUUACUGUCGGGUCUAUCAAAAACCAAGAAAAAAGUGAGUAAUGGAGUCAACUCAGCUCAACACCAGAACUCAGUAGCUCCAGUAAAUAAGAAACGGCAAGAAAAGCGAAACGCCGACGAGUUGAACUGCAAAACGGACCUUAACGGCGAUGUCGUUCUUGCGAGCUUUGAGAGCGGAGGCGAAGAACUUAGGGAGCAGAACGGACUCAGAGCCUUCGACGCACGACGGCCAGGCCUCGGGGGUCUUGUAGCAGAGUAAGACGUGGCGGUCGUACGCGUUGACAGUGCCAGCAAGUUUUUCCUUGCACAUCUCCAAUCUCUUGAAACCGAACCUCUCGUCUUCGGUGGCUGGAACGGCGACGUCGAGGUCAUCGGAGACCAUUGCUAGGGCUCGGAGAGGAGGGAGGGGUUUACCAGGGGUUGAAGUUGAAAACGAUGAGAGGGAAAAGAUGAGAGAGAAAGAGCGUUGUUGUUUGGUUGUUGUGUUGAUAUAACGAGGAGGCUGAGAAGGGAACCGCGGUGUCGGUGUGGGUGUAGGUGCGUGCGCAACACAUACGGCGCACGAUGGGGUUUCUGAAGAUCGGAGUCGGGACGCGUGGGAUUGGGCACGUGGGGUUUGAUUUGUAGUUCAUGUAUAUACCUCUUUUUUGAGAAUAAAGAUUUUUUUUGGAUCCUCUUUGUAGGGAUUUUAUAGUUUGUGUAUCGUAUUCAUUCAUUGUAAAUCAGACGGUUAGAAAUUACUUUAAAUCUAUAAAUUUAAAAUUAAACACAAAUAAUAUUUAAAGAAAAUUGACUGCAUAAUUAAUACGAUAAACGAACACAAUUAAAAAAUUCUCAGAAUCCUCGUAAAAAGAAUCCGAACUCUUUUGAUGUCUCCGAUCAUAUCGGACGGAAGCUAAAAGAUAAUUCGUGCACGCAAAAAUGGAAGGUCCUACAAACGGAGGAGGACCACUCUCUAUUCCCGGGAAGUGGGGUACAAGCGCGUAUGUAUAUAUCACCCAAUGGGGCACCAAUAUGUUGUACUAGCAGGGAACUGAAUGAGGUGAAAUUGGAAAAUCCCUUAAACUUGGUGAUGUGGCGACCUGUGAUUCGGCCUUCACAUUCUGUCAAGAAACAGGCCGGUCACUUUGUUGAUUAAGUCAAGCAGUCAGCCUUAGCCCGACGUGGACAAGUUCUGGAAGUCUUGUUUCGCUCAUUUAUUUAUUUCUUGUCAAUGACGUGUAAUAUUUGAUUUCAUUUGUUUUUUUGGUGGACUAAUAUUAAAUAUACUUUUGUCAAUGAAUUAAUGAUACAAUUUAGAACGGUGAUAUUCACACAUUUUGCACAUAUUCUUCAAUUUGAUAGUUGAAAAUUGAGAAGAAUGUGUGUGAAAUGUAAAAAGAACGUGUAAAUAGCAUAUCCCUACAAUUUAAUAUAAAGGAAUGUAGAUUUCAAACAACGAUUGUUUUUUAAGGUAACGCUUUUGUUCUUGAUUUUUCAUGUUUGAGCUUGAAAUGAACCGCUUUCAUAAUCUAUUGUAUUACUUUGUGUUCAGUUGAAUAAAGUAUCUUUUUCCAACGAAAAAUAAACGGAAUGGCAUUUAAAUAAGGAGUGUAGAGAGUGUAUGCGUAAGGAAAGAGGCAUGCAAAAUUCAUUUCAGCUCAUACAUCUUUGUGUUGCUUAUGUUGGUCUUUCAAUUAAUUAUGUUGAGAGUGAGGAAAUAAAUUGUACUUAGCAGUGUCAAAUUACAACCCUAAUCGAAAAACGUCUUGUUCGCCGGACCUACUCGACUGCUCCGAACAAUGUAAGGCCGAAAGGCGGACGAUACAUAAUCGGGUUUUUUCGAAGUAGGCAUUCAUAAACAUCAAGGAAGCAUACUUGGUAGAAAAUGAAAGAUCCUCAACUUCAUUCCUCAAAUUUUCAAUGCAAUUGAAUUUCCUCAAAUCUAAGGAACUACCAGAUUGUAAUGCUUGCAAUGGAAGGGAACCAUUGUGUACAUGUAGCAUCCACAUGAAUCAGUUGGAGGCUUGUUGGAGUUUUUAACGGAAUGACCAAAAUGAUGGAUGGUAGACAAUCUCAAGGACCACUUUUGAUUAUUUACCCUUCUAUUGAAUUUGCAAAGGGGAAGAAGUUUUAAAUCCAUUACAAAAGAGAUAAUUGCAGCAUGAUUGAUAACAUGCUCAUCACGUGAUUGGGUUCCUAAAAUUCCCAGGUUGUUGCAGGCUUCCUCGUCCUUGUAGAAUAUUUUGUUCAACAAUUCCAGAGAAAAACAAUUAUUCGAUUCGUUUCAGGUAACAGAUGAGUAGCUUAAUUCAAAACUUGUUUUCGUUCUAGAAGUUUAGAUUAUACAAGUGAAUGGUCAAUAUGAUAUACUCGAUAAAAUUACAUGUCUCCUUUUAAAUUUAAAGUUCAUUAUUUUGAAGUGAUUUUUGGAAUUUAAUUUUUCAAUUUAUUUGAUUGAGAGGUGAGGAAUUGGAGAUAAUUAAUUAUGUUUGGGGGUUAACUGGUAUCCUCUAGAAUAUGUUUUUUUUUUUAAUGAGGAAUCCUCUAGAAAAUGUUUAACUUUAUUUUAAAUUUUCAUGUGGUUUUGGCUUCAAUGAGGCAAUGGCAUAUGUGUAAAUAAACAAAAGUUUAAUUCUAACCUAAGGGGGCUGACGGAAGUCAGGGGCAUGGAUGGAAAAGGAGUUUCUUACUUUGCACGUGGGGCUUUAUUGUUUGGGUUAUUCCUCCUAGCUUUUGUCAUUUUCAUUAAAAUUUAAAUCUUUUUAUUAAGUAAAAUUAUUAAAUAGUUUUUUUAUUAAGAAAUUGUUAUUAGGAUUCUAAAAAUCUCAUUUAGCAUUCUAAAUUUUUUAUAAUUAGAAAAAAAAAUACACUUAUAAGAAGUGUAAAUGAGAUUUUUGAAAUGCUAAUAACAAUUCGAUUUUAUUAAUAAAAAGUUUGAAGAAGGCCUUUUCAUUAAAAUUCCCCCAAAAAAAAAGGAGUAUGCUUCUUCCUAAAACGCUUCUUUAGGCCAUAUAAACAAACAGUGAGACGUAAAAACAUGCCCCAACCUCAAAUAUUUCUCUCACAAACAAGGAGAGAAUUUUCAGUGUGACCGGUACACAAGGUGGUACACCACGUAUCACUAAACAAAUAAUAGGAUAUGUGUGCUAAAAAGUUAAUAACUUAAAAAAUAAAAUUUCCCACUAUUCUUAUUAAAACACGUGAUGUAUCACUUAUAUUCCCGUCACAACUAAAAAUUUCCCUACAAACAGAGAGACGUAAAAACAUGCUGCCAUGGGCUUCAGAGAGGAAAAAAGAUCAGGAAAAAAAAUGACCUGAUUGGGUAAGACUUGUACACAAGUUUGUAGUAAAUGUCUACGUACCUUCCUUACAAGUCUGUCUCUUUACUGUGCUUUCCUUCAAUUCACUGUUGUUUCUUCAUCGUCAAAGCUUUCAAUAUUAAGAUCAAACCUUAAUGUUUUGCAGACCUCAUCAGAUGAGUGAUCUCUUAACUCUGUACCAUUGUGGGUGUCGUCAUCAAACUCAUAUGGUAUAGUCUAAUAGUCUGCCUCAUCAGUAUCAUCAUCUCACUCUAAUGGUACACGCUCAUAGUUCACAUUUUUUAUUUCUGAAGGUAAACAAUGUUCCCAUCCUACAAAAUUCACUCCUGUUUUCUUCACCUUACGAACCUUGUCCCCCCUUUUCAGAUUGAGCUUCCUGUUUGAAAGACUUCCCAGCCAAAGAUAAUCUUCAUGGGAAUCAGUUAUGGUGGCAUCCAUUCACCAGAUGGAAAAAUAAGUUCUCUGGGUAACCACAUCGAGGCAUAGAGACCCACUACACUGGGAUGGUCCGAAGAAUAAACGAUGCACACAGCCAACCCUCCUAUAUAAUCAAAACUUGGCGGCACUUCAAAUUUGACAUUUUCUUCCUCUCUCACGACAUAGGUUAACGAUUAAGGAAUAACAUUUCAAGAGCGACAAAUUUCACCAAAUACAUCCCCCACCUUCCAUUUCUACAACACGGCGUGCAAAGUUUGUAUAAGCAAACAAUACGAGAAGGGCAGAGCGAGAGAGAGAGAGAGAGAGAGAGAGAGAGAGAGAGAGAGAGAGAGAGAGAGUAUCAUGCAACAAAACAUAAAAACUCAUCUGGGAGAAUUAUGACUCUUGUGAAUUGGUAGUAUUAUCGAUGCAUAUGUUAUAUGAUCUUCAAACUCGCUAUAGCGUGACUUUUUUUUUUUGUAUCUUUUUCAUCAACUUCAUUUGUUUUUUUUUUUUUUCAAGUAGAGCUGAUAAACUUAAAAUUUAUCCACAACCUAAAAAAUGGAAGAAAAAAAAAGAGGUGGAUGUACAAAAUCCUUGCUAUGCCCUCUAUAUUCAACAGAACAAUAAAUUGAGUUAACGGAUAUAAUUGAAGUACCAUAUUUGAUUGUGUUUGAGAACCAUAAUAAGGAAAAAAAAAAACUACUCUAGAAUGAAGGUAAAACUCGUGACAACAAUGGUGUACAUCUAAAAAAUAGUUCAAGCAGAUUAAGAUGUUAGCGCAUAGACAAAUAUCUCGUUUAUUGAACAAACGAUGAGGAUAACAAUGCCGUUUUCUCUCUUUCGAAAUUCAUAAACAACAAAAUUGAGAUUUGUUACACAAAAAUUACCAUAAAUUUUGACAGAAUUGGCGGUUGAAAUAUAAGUCCAGCAUCCAAAUCGAAAACAAUCAUAGGAGCUUAGAAAAUACCACAUCAACCUUUAGCAAGUAGUCUCAUAAGAAAUCCCAAUCAAGAUAAAACCAUUCAACAGUUUAUUAGACUUCUCCUUUCAUAUAAGAGCAUGGUUCGGAGGAUAAUUUAAUUGACCUCAUAACAUCUUUCUACAAAGAAAAAAUGAAAAAGAAAAUAGGGCCUCGACACCUGUGGCAAAACCCGACAUGGAUUAGAGUACUUUUCUGCCUAACCUUCUAUAAAAGCAAUAGGCCACAACUACUAUUGCCACUGCUCCAAUCAAGCUUGACAGCUUCCGUAAGGCAUCCUUCCUGGCACACGACUCCCUGGUUUCUUUCGGCUUUUUUUCCUCACUUCCACCGUUCUCCUCCAAACUUACUUCUUCGCAACAUGUAAAUCCAUCACUAUUAGCACCCUGGCAACAACCUGAAAAGUUCUCAUUAUUCUCAAUUUGAUUGCCCUUUUCUUGGUGAAUCUGAUUGCCAUUUUCUUGUGGCUUCUCCUCAAUUUUCUUAUUUUCUUCUCCAUUUGGAAGCUCCCGGUCAUUGAUUUCUUCAGCUUCAUCAGAAGAUGCUCCCAUUUGGCCCCUGUAACAAAUGAAAUUGAAUUUCGUGUUCAACUAUUUAAAGAUUCAACUCUAAGUUUCGUCAAUAUCAAUUGAGUAAGAACAUGUAUGAUCAAGCUUAAUAAACAAAUCACAACCACAUUACAAAUAAAAACAUAUACAGGGUAAUGCAGUUAUAUCCAAUUCUUUUGUGCUUUCUCCACAAAAGUUCCUCCAUGUUAAUGUAACUCUAUAUCAAUUAAUCUAUCAUACAAGACUAGACAUAAUCAGCAAUUGAAAACUACGACAACACAAGCUUCCGUCCAGUGAAAAUUUCAUCCAAAGAUAGGCAAAACCAAAAACGUACAAACCUCCACAGUCGUUUUAUAAUCUUUCCCUUCCCAAUAUGCUCAUCAAGCAAUUCCGGCACAUCAUCAGGAGUGACGUCGCCAUACCUGCAAUUAAUAAUACAUUUUAUUCAAAUUCCAUUGAUCCCAAUACAACAAAAUUUUAAAUUGUUAUGAUCCGAAUAUUACCAAUGGCCUGUUAUGCUUCCAUCUGAACCUGAGCUAUAGAUAAUCAUGUUUCCAUUGUGGCCUCCAGUGUGAAAGCAAGCAGCAACAAAUACCUGAUUCGUCAAUCCUCGCAGCUCAACCUCCUCUUUGAACUUAUAAAUGAGAACACGUGCACUAUCAUGAUUCCAUUCCUCUCGACUACCUUGUGCACAUACAAAUACAUGGGAGCCAGUCAACGGCUCUUGCACUCUGGAAGCCCAUGGCUUGUCAUUCACAAGGACAUCAUCAACAAAGUUGUCCACAUCCGACUCUUUCAAACCCCUUUGAUCAAGAAACAAAAACAAUCCCAAAAUCACAAAAAGGAAUUUACAGGAAACAAUAACCUAACACUCUUUAAUUCCUUAUAAGGCAAGGAAUUAGUCUUAAAUUGAGUCAUUAAAUUAAAUUUCUAGUACUAAUUUCAGAAGAUAACACAUAUCUAAUUAUCUACUUAGUUCAUGACAUUUAGCACAAUUUCGUAAUCAAAAGAGAAGUCGAAACAGAAAUUACUUCAGUCAAAACUAGGAAAAUAAAUUGCACUGCUCAUCUUGGUUAUGGAAUGGGCCCUUGAUUAUGAAUUAAUUACGGUUUGCCAUUGUGUGCGCUAGUGUGGGCCGUGCUUAACAACUGGGUUGGGCUGCUGCAUUUGGGCACAGGGUGCAGCUCUCAAGCGUUUUGGGCUGGGUUUCACCGAAAGAUCCAAUAACUAUUUUGCCCCCUUCAGUCCUAAUCCAACGGCCACCAUUUUGGGCGUUUGUGUUCUGCAAUUCAGUGGUUGGGGGUUGGGGGUUGUGGUGGGGGGGGGGCGUCAGGAUCUCUUCAAGGAGAUCGUGCAGAGAGGCAGCGAGAUGUUUCGGUUCUGUCUUCUUCGACUCUUAUAUCGUCCCUUUUUUCUGAAUUUUCUUUAUUUCUUAUCCUUUAAACUUUGUAUUUUUUUUUUUGGUGAUGCAGAUAGAUGAACAUGUUCAAAGGGAAAUCAUGAACCACAGAUCACUGCAUCCGAAUGGACCGAAUAUCGUUUGAUUCGAAGAGGUCAGUGAUCAUAAACUAUUUUAUAAACUAUUUUCAUUUUGUUUUUUAAGAAUGAAUUCGGCAAGUUCUGUUUGAAUUUUGUAUAAGUAUCUGCUGAUGGUGGGUGGAUGAAGACAGAACAUGCUAAAUUUGGCCUUUGGUGUGCUCAAACUGGUACGGGGGAUGGUUAAAACUUUGAGCCUGGGAUGCAGUAGGACUAACAGAAAUCCACCACUUGCAGAAUUGUUGUCAAAAUAACUCUGCUAAAAAUAUGAGCUAUACUUCUUGCACUUUGUUUUUACUGUGAAGUGGAAAUAGUCUUUAGAGUGGCUUAUUUGUGAUAAUUGAUAAAGAGGUUUGUGUUUAAGACUUGAGAGUAGUGCGGUGUCUUUCUCGCUGGUUCUGCUCACACCACCUCAUCUAGCCAUUGUGAUGGAGUACACGGCUGGGUGAGAACUCUUCGAGAGAGUAUGCAGUGCUGGCAGAUUUAGUGAGGAUGAGAUAAAGUAGUUUCAAAUGCACAGAAAAUUUCAUUGGAAUUGAUUUUAGUGUAGAGUCUCAAAUAUGGGAUCUCUAAAUGUCCCCUGAAAUGGAAUCCAUCUCGAUUUUUGCUUAGUUUCAGAUAGGGAAGGUUAUGUCUGAAGCAUUUUUACAUAAACAAUCAGUCAUAAUAUAACAAAAACGAACUUACUUUUUCGAUAUAAUUGUUGUUUUGCAUCAGGCAAGGUUUUUUCCUCCAGCAAUUGAUAUCAGGAAUUAGUUGCUGGCUUUUGAUGGUAUGUAAUGUGGCACUUUUCUGCUAAUCGUAUACUGUUAUUUCUCUUUUGAUAUUGGAAGUGUUGGUUGUAGUAAGGAAAUAAUUCGUUUCAAUAGUUUACGACUUAGUUUUAAUAGUAUAUGACUCAGUUUUUGAAUAGCACUCGGGUGGUUUUUGAAUAACAGUAUUACGACUUAGUUUUCUAAAUGCCAAUAACAGCUCUAGAUUUUGUCUCAAGUGGAGUAUUCUUACUAAUGUAGCAUUUUGUUGGCGCAUCAGUAUGUUUUGAUUGUUUCUCUGCUUGAACAGAGAAUUGUUAACGUCCAGGUGGGAACGUGGGUUGGCUCAUGUUUUAAUCUCUCCGUUGUAAGCAAUUUUACAUGGUAUUCUUCAAUGUAGCUAUAGGUAAGACAACAGUCUCAGUAUUCCAUAAUCUAACCACCAUUUGAACUUUUUUCAUCCACCAAGCUAAGCUUUUAUGUGCCAUCUUGAAUGGUUAUUAUAAGUUAUUGCUUCAGAUUACUCCAGUGCGACAUUAUUGUUCUCUUCCUUACCUCUCAAGCUUGCUUAAUGUCCUUAUUCUUAUUACUGUUGUAUUGUUAAGAAAUACUCAAAUGCGGUUUCAGUUCAUCAUUAUGAAUCAGAUUAAAAUUAACCACUCACUGGUUAAUUAUCUAAAUCCUAUAAAUUCAGAUUAAAAUUAAAGCAACUACAGAACAAAAACCUCAAGAAAUCAACACGAAUUUACCUGUAUUUGAUCAUUUGUGGGAAAAUCAACACAUCGCCAUUGGAAAACUCAGUUCCUUCGCGUCCUUCAAUUACUGUCAGCAACGUCUAUCAAAAACCAAGAAAAAAGUGAGUAACGGAGUCAAUUCAGCUCAACACCAUAACUUAGUAGCUCCAGGAACUAAGACACGGUAAGAAAAAAUAAUCGGAAAUGCUGACGAAUUGAGCUGGAAAAGGGACCUUAACGGUGAUGUCGUUCUUGCGAGCUUUGAGAGCGGAUGCAAAGAACUUAGGGAGUGGAUCGGACUCAGAGCCUUUGAUGCGCCAUGGCCAAGCCUCGGGGGUCUUGUAGCAGAGGAAAACUUGGCGAUUGCUCAACUGCGUAUCGUCCUUAGUGUCUUCAUCAGACUCAUAUGACAUAGUCUCAUAGUCGUACCAAUUAGUACGACCAUCAGACAAAUCCCAUUUUACAAUAUCCACUCCUGUUUUGUUCACCUUAAUAAUUGUAUUAUCUAGUCCAGAAAAUUCUGCUUUUACAAGAACCAUGUCACCGCUUUUCAGAUUGAGCUUCUUGUUUGAAAGAUUUCCCAACCAAAGAUAAUAUUCAUGGGAAGCAGUUACGGUGGCCUUCAUUGCCCAGACGCGAAAGUUAGUUCGCUGGGUACGAUUAACAACACCAAUGGUUAGAAUCCCAGUACAGUCAGAGUUGUCCGAAGAAUAAACGAUGCCCAAAGCCAACCCUCCUAUAUAAUCAAUACUUGGCGGCACUUCGAAUUUGACAGUUUCAUCCUCUCUUGCGACAUAGGCUAACCAGUUAGGAAUAUCAUUUCCAAAGAGAAAAAUUCCACCAAAUGCAUUUUUCUACACCAUGGGGUGCAAAGUUAGUAUAAGCAACAAUACGAGAGAGAGAGAGAGAGAGAGAGAGAGAAAGAGAGAGAGAGUACCGUUUUGGAGGUUCUCCUUAAAAGUAUCAGUGAGACUGGUACACCCUUCCAUGUGAAUUGAUUCCAUGUAGUCCAAUGAGUUCUCCAAGUUUGGAAUAUCUUUGAGUUUGCGGCAGUCUUUCAGUUCCAAUUUCCUCAUUUUCGACAUCUCUGAAAAGUCGGACGUUAUUUCCAGUGCAGUGCAGUAAUUCGCUUCCAGUAGAAGCAAACUGUUCGGCAAAUCUGGGAUUGCCUCAAGGUUUGUGCAAUGAUUUAGAUGUAAUUCCUGAAGCUGAGAAAGGCCAUUGAGAUUGGGCAGCCUAUUAAAACCAUUCCCAUAUAGAACUAAAUAUUUUAAAGAAGAUAGACUCCCAAUUAUUUCGAGAAGGGCACCAUCUGUUAUAUUGCAGUCGCUGAGACCUAAUGCCUCAAUCAUCUUCAGUUGUAGUAAAAAAUGGUAACCCCUACACAAACCCUUACAGCCACUGAGGUUCAAUUCCUCGAGAUGUGGGAGUUUUGAAAAGUCUAGUAAUUCAGUCAGGUUAUGGCAGUCUUUAAGAAUGAGACACUUCAACAUCUUAGGCAACUUCUUAGGCAACUGUUACUCAAAAAGUGAAAACAAUAAUAAAAAUAUAAAUAAAUAAAAGAGAGAAUGCAUGCCGAUGACCGAUGUUGAUAUUUACAAGGACAUUGAUAAUUAUAUCGUACCAGGUCUGAAUCAUCCCAAACUCGUACAAGCUUGCUAUUUCUCAGGUCAAUAAAAACUAGGUUUCGUUGAUCAAAAUCUGCUGGUAUGGCUUCAAGGGGAAAUCCAUCCCAAACCAACAAUCUUAACUCCUUGGAAAGAUGUUUGUAGCUUCCAGUCAGCUUUACAAUUUCCAGCCGGAUAAAUUUCAGACGCCGCAUCUUCUUAAACGCUUCUGUACUGAAGCUUUCCUCGUCAUCAGAAUCUUCUGGCAACCUUAAGUUUAGUCCUUCAACUGCUUCUGUUCCCUGUUAGAGAUAUAAAAAAAAAAAAUGAUAAUAUUCACACGAAGCAGAGCCGUGAAUUGGAUGAAUGAGCUACUAGAAUGGUAGGGCAUACAACAUAAUUAAUUAUGUAUUUUCUCUUUCAAUUUACAGUGGAUGAAAGCCUUUUCUUCUUUUUCUUCAAAUAUAGGCAUACAUUAUAUAUAUGCGGAUAUGUGUAUACACUUCUCUUUCUUUACAUGUACUUAACAUAACAUCUUUUUAUUGCAAAAGUACUUACUGAUUCGUUCAUGAGCACGUUUUUUGCAUCUUCACUAUGCCACAAUCGGCUACGUUUUCCCAAUUCCACAAGAGAUUCUGCCCGCACAAUUUCUCUUCCCAUAUCUCGAAUCAAAUCAUGCAUCCUCAAGUAUCCCUCUUCAUCAAUAUAUAAGAGACAUCGUUCGUAAAGUGUGAUAAUUUCUGCUUCUACAGAAAAACUACUACAACCAUCCAAUAUUGCCGUGACAAAAAUUUUACUCCAUCCAAUAAAGAAACAAGAUAUGUCAAGGAAUACACCCUUCACAUGAUCAUCACGUAGCCCAUCGUAACUUAAUUUAAGCGUUUCAUGAAUUUUUCCAUCUGGAAUAUUUCUCAAUUUAUCCAAUGUACUUUUCCAUAUGCUUUUACUCUUUUUUGUAGCCAACAACUUCAAGAGCUAGGGGCAAUCCUCCACAAUAAUCAAUAACAUCUCUUGCGAGCUCAAUAUAUUCUUUAUCUGGACAAUCAUUUCCAAAGGCAUGCCAACUAAGAAGCUUAAGAGCUUCGUCAUCAGUCAUUCCUUGUGCUUUAUAUCUUUUAUCCACCUUUUGUAUAUUCAGCACUUGUUCAUCUCUUGUCGUUAUAAUAACUCUGCUCCCUGGACCAAACGAGUCAUGUGCUAUUGCCAAUUUAUCUAAUUGGUCCGCAUCAUCUAUGUCAUCAACCACGACAAGUACCUUCAUGCUUCCAAGUCUUUUCUCUAUCUCCUUGGUUCCUUCGGCAACACUGCUUACCUUAAUGUCAAGCCGUUUCAAAAUAUCUCGAAGAAGUUGUUCUUGGAGACUAACCAUAUUUUUCUUGUUACUCCUCACCUCUUCAAGGUAACAUUGACUGCUGAAACUGUGACUAUAUUUGCUACAAAUCUCUUUGGCAAACGUUGUUUUACCUAUACCGCCUGUACCCCAAAUUCCAAUUAUUUGAACAUCAGGUGAACCUCCAACGUCUAAGUAUUUAGUGUUGAAUUCUUUCACGCGAAGAGCUAUUCCAACUGAGUGCUUGGCAUUUUUGAAGUCUCUGGGGGUCAAUCGUCCCUUGAUGUCCCCAAUAAUUUUCUCAAUAAACACUCCUUCGCGCCUACAAGUAGAAAUUCCAAAUUACAAGAGCCAUACUAAUGCCUUAUUCAUCAUGACUAUAUAUUUACAUAUUGAAACAGGUUUGAAUAAAUUGUGAUUUACUGAGCUCAAUUCAACAACGUAUUUAAUCUUCAAUUAUAAUGUGAAUAGAUUAGAUCAUUGGUCAUUGGACUAUUACACCAUUGUAGCUUUCAGUUAUAUAAUUAAGAAUCCAUUACAAUUGGUAUUUUAAUUUGAUAAAGUGUGGAGCAUUUGUUCUUCACACACCCAUAAAAAACGAAGCAUUGUACCCUGCAUUUCACUUCCUUAGUUUUGACGGCAAUUCAUAUGCAAAUGCUCUACCAUUUAUAAAAUUCAUAUACCAAUUCUAAUAAAUUUUUAUGCAGUGACCAAAAUUACAAUUCUAUCAUAGUUCAGGGACCAAUGAUCCAAUUUUUCUUCUAACAUAUAAAAUCAUAUUCAAUGCCUUAAUUAUAAUUUCUUAAUUUUGGUUAAUUAGUGAAAUAACUCCGCCUGUGUAAGUUUAUCUUACAUUGCCGGUCCCAAGCCCGGGUAAAGGAGGAGGGGGGAGGGCGUCAGGUAGUCGACAGUCGGCACUACACAGUUACGUCGAAUCCUUAUGAAAAUGAAUCCAUAACGAAAUCGCGCUAAAGCUAGGGCGUCACCCGUAAGUGGCGCGCUGUGUGGCCCGAGCACAGUGAUAAGUGAGCAAGGGUCGCUGUAUCUCCAUAGGCACCCGGAUGCAGUGUUAAAUGAGCAAGGGGGCCAUAGAAACUUCUUUUUGAACGACUCCACUCAAAGUUGUUUAGGAGCAUAUGCUCCUAUCAACUUUACACGGGACACACAAAAGAAGUACUUUGAUUCCAUUGGACGGGGGAGGGUGAAGAAGCUAGGACAGAAGGGUAGAGUUCAAGAGAGUAGAAUGCGUUUAGGAACGUGGAAUAUAGGAACCUUAACGGGAAAAUCUAUGGAAGUAGUGGAAGUUAUGGUAAGGAGAAGGAUAAAUAUUAUGUGCCUAUAAGAAACUAAGUGGGUUGGUCUUAAGGCAAAGGAUCUAGAAAACUCAGGGUUUAAACUUUGGUACUCGGGCACAAAUAGAACGAGAAACGGUGUUGGCAUCAUCGUGGACAAGACCUUGACACAAGAUGUUGUAGAUGUCAAGAGGGUAGGAGAUAGAAUUAUGGCAAUCAAGAUUGUAAUAGGACAAGAACUCAUCAAUGUGAUUAGUGCGUACGCACCUCAAGUAGGGUUGGAUGCGAGUUCGAAGGAGAAAUUUUGGGAAGACCUUGGAGACUUGGUGCAAGGAAUUGCCCAGACAGAGAAGUUAUUUAUAGGAGGAGAUUUAAAUGGACACGUGGGCAGGGAGACAGGCAACUAUGGAGGUUUUCAUGGUGGCCAUGGUUUUGGGGAGAGAAACGAGGAUGGGAAAGCUAUCUUGGAUUUUGCAAUGGCAUAUGAUCUCUUCUUAGCCAACACCUUCUUUAAGAAAAGAGAAGAACAUGUGAUCACCUACAAGAGUGGGUUGUCAAAAACACAAAUAGAUUUUCUUCUAAUUUGGAAAGGGGAUCGUAUAACUUGUAAGGAUUGCAAAGUUAUACCGGGAGAGAGCUUGGCUAAUCAACAUCGCUUGUUGGUGAUAGAUGUACAUAUCAAAAGAGUGAGAAAAAAGAACAAGACUUGGAAGUGCCCAAGGACUAGAUGGUGAAAUCUAAAAGGAGAAAAACAAGUCAUUUUCAAAGAGAAAGUAAUCACCCAGUGUGGGUGGGAUAGAGAGGGGGAAGUUAGCCAAAGGUGGGAUUCCAUGGCUAGUUGUAUACGAAAAGUAGCAAAAGAGGUAUUAGGAGAGUCCAAGGGCUUUGCUCCACACCAAAAGGAAUCUUGGUGGUGGACUGAGGAGGUACAAACAAAGGUGAAGGCUAAGAAAGAAUGUUGUAAAGCCCUAUACAAGGACAUGACCGAUGAAAAUGGUGAAAGGUAUAGAAGAGCGAAGCAAGAGGCGAAGAAAGCUGUGAGAGAAGCUAAGUUAGCGGCUUAUGACGAUAUGUAUAAGCGACUAGCAAAAGAAUGAGAGUUGGAUAUUUAUAAACUAGCUAGAGCAAGGGAAAAGAAGACAAGGGACCUAAACCAAGUGAGGUGCAUCAAGGAUGAGGAUGGAAAGGUUCUUGCUACAGAGAACGCGGUCAAAGACAGAUGGAGAGGUUAUUUUCAUAAUCUUUUCAAUGAAGGACAUGAAAUGAGUACUUCUUUAGGGGAGUUGAGUAACUCAGAAGAGUGUAGAAACUACUCAUUUUAUCGUCGAAUCAGGAAGGAAGAAGUGGUUGUAGCUUUGAAGAAGAUGAAGCAUCGAAAAGCAGUGGGCCCAGACGAUAUACCGAUCGAAGUGUGGAAAGUCUUGGGAGAGACAGGUAUAGCAUGGCUCACUGACCUUUUCAAUAGGAUUUUGAAAAUGAAGAAGAUGCCAAAUGAGUGGCGAAAUAGCACUUUGGUGCCUAUCUACAAGAAUAAGGGCGACGUACAAAACUGCAUGAACUAUAGGGGUAUUAAGCUAAUGAGUCAUACAAUGAAGCUCUGGGAGAGAGUCAUUGAGCAUAGAUUGAGGCAAGAGACACGGGUUUCGGACAACCAAUUCGGGUUCAUGCCAGGGCGCUCAACCAUGGAGGCAAUCUAUCUCUUACGAAUAUUGAUGGAAAGAUAUAGAGAUGGGAAAAAUGAUUUACAUAUGGUCUUUAUAGAUUUGGAAAAAGCGUAUGAUAGGGUCCCAAGAGACAUUCUUUGGAGGAUUUUAGAGAAGAAAGGAGUACGAGUAGCAUAUAUCCAAGCUAUAAAGGAUAUGUAUGAAGGAGCAAAGACUGCCGUAAGAACUUAUGAAGGACAAACCGAAAGCUUCCCCAUAACUGUAGGAUUACAUCAAGGCUCAUCCUUAAGUCCUUACCUUUUUGCGUUGGUAAUGGAUGAGUUAAUAGGACAUAUUCAAGAUGAUCUUCCUUGGUGUAUGCUUUUCGCAGAUGAUAUAGUGUUGAUAGAUGAAACUCAGGAAGGGGUAAAUACGAAGCUUAACCUUUGGAGAGAAGUGUUGGAAUCUAAAGGUCUUCGCCUAAGCCGAUCAAAGACAGAAUAUAUGGAAUGCAAGUUCAGUGCAAAUGGAGGCCAAAAUGAGUUAGGGGUGAGGAUCGGAGAUCAGGAAAUGCCAAAGAGCGAUCGUUUUUUCUACUUAGGAUCUAUCUUGCAAAAGAACGGAGAAUUAGAUGGAGAUCUCAACCAUAGAAUACAAGCUGGAUGGAUGAAGUGGAAGAGUGCAUCCGGCGUGUUGUGUGACCGCCGUAUGCCACUGAAGCUCAAGGGAAAAUUUUAUAGGACGACAAUAAGGCCGGCGAUGCUGUAUAGCACAGAAUGUUGGGCGGUGAAGCAUCAACACGUACAUAAAAUGGGUGUAGCGGAGAUGAGGAUGCUUCGUUGGAUGUGUGGGCACACGAGAAAGGAUAAGAUUAUGAAUAAGGAUAUCCGAGGUAAAGUAGGAGUAGCCGAAAUUGUAGAAAAGUUGAGAGAAAAUCGGUUACGGUGGUUUGGACAUGUGCAAAGAAGGCCUACUGACGCUCCGGUUAGAAGAUGGGACUACGGGACAGAGGUUCAAGGCCGAAGGGGUAGAGGAAGACCUAGGAAAACUUUGGAAGAGACUCUAAGAAAAGACUUAGAGUAUUUGGAUUUAACAGAUGACAUGACACAGGACCGAGCACAAUGGCGUUCUAAGAUUCAUAUAGCCGACCCCACUCAGUGAAGAAGGCUUUGGUGUCUUUAACACAAUACGUUGGAAAUGAAGCAAAGCUUAUGUAUUGAUAUCUCCGAUAAGUUACAAAUAUGUACAUAUACAUGAGUCAAAAUAAACAAACAAGAGGGAGCCUUCACAAAGGUUGCUUAGGAGAAGUCUCAGCAGUCGGUAGAGCCCCAGAAAGAGAAGGCACCGGAGGGGGAUCAUUCGGAGCCUCAGUACUGGACAGAACCCUAGAAGGAAGAGGCAUCGGAGGUUGAUCAUUUGGAGCUUCAUUAUGCAGUACAGCCCCAGAAGACGAAGGCAAUAAAUGCCUUUGGAACAAACCCACAAACCGCUGAUGAUCAAGUAAAACUUGACCAUCAGAUUCCUUCAUCUGGUCAAGCUUCCUCUUCAUGUUUAUAACAUAGUUAUGUGCGAGCCGGUGCAACUGUUUAUUCUCAUGCUUGAGCCCGCUAAUCUCCUGUUUGAGACUCAUCACUUCAGCCGCCAAUGAUUCAACUUGGCGGGUUCGAGCAAAUAGGCGUUGGGCCAUAUUAGACACAGAACCUGCACACUGAACACUCAGAGCCAGAGAAUCCUUAACAACCAAUUCAACAGACCGUUUGGAAAGUAGUCUGUUAUCUUUGGGAGUGAGAAGGUUCCUGGCCACCACCGCAGCGGUCAUAUCAUUCUUCAUCACAGAAUCCCCAACGGUAAGAGGACCAGUAGGGGAUAAGAAGGAUGGGCGCCAUAUGUUGUCUGGAGAAGGUGUGGCUGCCUCUUCAACAAGGUUCAAGUCAAAACGACGGUCGGAGGGGCCAGACAUUUUCAAAGGUGUUGAAGAGAGAAAAGGUCAGACAAAUCAAGAUCUUAGAAGUGCAAGAAGGGAGCUUCUACUGGUGAAGAUUCAGGUGUGCUUUGAAACUUAAUGCCAGCCUCUAUAAAAAUCUGCACUUGACGGAGCUUCAGAAAUCAAAGAGGCAUCUGCCCAGAAAUCGAAGAGGCGUUUGCUUUCUCAAAAGUUGGGCUGCUCAGAGACCACGAGGGCCGAUUUCAGAAAUCGAAGAGGCGUUUGCUUUCUCAAAAGCUGGGCUGCUCAAAGACCACGAAGGCUGAUCUCAGAAAUCGAAGAGGCGCUUGCUUUCUCAAAAGAUGGGCUGCUCAGAGACCACAAGGGCCGAUCUCAGAAAUCGAAGAGGCACCUGUUUUUUUUUUUUUCAGCCUUGUCAGCAUCUGUCACAUGCACACUCAGCUUUGCUGAAAUUACGGGCAUUCUGGUGAAGUAGAAAGCACGUGAAUCUUAUUGUUCAAUCAUCCACUUUUCACACGCACCAUCAGCUCAUGGGUACCACAGAUAACUUUGCCAAAGAUCUCUGACAAAGUUUAGACACGUGAAGCUUGCAGCUCCCACUACAUCGCUAUGACCAAGAAGGGUAAAAUAAUAGCAAAGAAACAACACUAACAAAGUUUAGACACAGAAAUUUUGAAGGUCUAGCUAUCAUAUUAUUACCCACAAGGGUAAAGGAACAACAUCACGGCUGGAUAAUUGGAAAGUCCCUGUGUGUCAACCUCUGUGCUCCAUGGCAAGGUAGACUAGCAAACAUGCCCUACCUUUACUCACAUUCGAGAAAACACUCCAAACAAGAUUGCUUGCUCCAAAAUCGAAGAGGCACCGUCCUCCGAAUCUUGAGAGCCAGACUCCCAACAUGAUUACUUUCUCAAAAAUCGAAGAGACACCGCUCUCCGAAUCUCGAGAGCCAGACUCCCAGCAGGAUUGCUCUCUCAAAAAUCGAAGAGGCACCGUUCUCCGAAUCUCGAGAGACAGAUCCCCGACAGGAUUGCUUGUUCGAAAACUGAAGAGGCAUCACUUUCUCAACUUCGAGAGCCAGAUCUCCUUGGAUAAAGCUUGUCUGUAAUCUUCACACGCAACAUCAGCUUUCCAGAUACCACAGACCACUUUUUCAAAGUGCUCUGACACACGUGAAGCUGGCAGCUCCCACUACCGUGCUAUGACCAAGCAGGGUAAAGGAAUAGCAUUACUACUUGUUGUUAGGGAGACUCCUAUAUAUGUCGACCUCCAUCUUCAACGGACAGGCAGACCUGCAAAAAUGCUCAACCAUUCCUCAUAUCUGAGAGGGCACUCCCAACGAAGCCUCUCGAAAUACUCAGCUUUCUUUCCCCCCCCCCCCCCGAUAAUACCUUUGCAAACAAGCUACACCAGAGCAAGAAUAUCUCAUAUCAUCAGGGUUAAAAGCAAGAGUAUCCUAUAUCAUGCUAUUUCCCUGUCUUUUCCUUUGGCCUUGUUCUUACCUGCAAGACAAGGAGAACAUCUACCUAUGAGACAGAUAAGGCAAGUGAAGACGAUACCACACUUCGGUACUUAGAAGUUUCGUGAUUACGAUAUCAUUCUCCCACAAUAUUUCCUUAUGUCAUUUGUACUAAAUCAUUCAUUUGUACCCACUAAAGGAGAGCUUGAACCUAUGUACUUGUGUAAACCCUUCACAAUUAAUGCGAACUCAUCUACUCCAUAGACGUAGCCAAUCUGGGUAAACCACGUACAUCUUAUGUUUGCUUUCCUGUCUCUAUCCAUUUACAUACUUAUCCACCAUAAUGACCAGAGCAAUAAGUUAAUACUUUCUGUUGUACCAAAGUCCUCACUGAUUUUUUGCAUCAACAAGCCUUAAGUCCUUACCCUUUUGCGUCGCAAAUGAUAUAAGGUUGAUAGAUGAAACUCAUGAGGGGUAAAUGCGAAGCUUAACCUUUGGAGAGAAGUGGUGGAAUCUAAAGGUCUUCGCCUAAGCCGAUCAAAGACAGCAUAUAUGGAGUGCAAGUUCAGUGCAAAUGGAGACCAAAAUGAGUUAGGGGCGAGGAUCGGAGAUCAGGUAAUACCAAAGAGCGACCGUUUUCGCUACCUAGGAUCUAUCUUGCAAAAGAACGGAGAAUUAGAUGGAGAUCUCAAUCAUAGAAUACAAGCUGGAUGGAGAGGUGGUCUGUGAAGGUAGUGCGUGUCGUCACCUCUAAAGCUCAAAAACACCUCGUUCUUCCAGCGGUUUGAGCGGCACGGGCAAGACGAAGAGGCUGCGAUGGCGGUUCCAUGGACAGAGCUGAUGGUAUCUAUCGAUAAUUGGUACUAGCGUUGGGAGACUAGAGGGAGUGCAGCAGGCUGUGCGGCUUGGCUUUCAGAUAGCCAAAGCUCAGUCAAAUGUCAUCGCCUAAGUAUUAUAGAGAAACAAAAUGCGUGGAGCGAUAUGAAUAUACAUGUACAUGGCAUUGCAUAAGUUUACUACAAAAUAUGGUAACACCCUAAUUUUUAUGGACAUAGUACUAUCAGUAUUUGUGACUAUCUGCAUUGCAACUAUCCAAUAUUGCCAUGACAAUAGUUAUAUCCCAUCCAAUAAAGAAAUUAGAUAUGUCAAGGAACACACCCUUCACAUGAUCGGUACUUAACCCAUCGUAGCUUAAUUUAAGCGAUUCAUGAAUUUUUUUCAUGUGAAAUAUUUUAUUCAAUGUACUUUCCCAUAUGCUUCUACUUUUUUUCGUAGCCAACAAAUGGCCAACAACUUUCUGAGCUAGGGGCAAUCCUCCACAAUAAAGAACAACAUCUUCUGUGAUGUUGAGGUCGUUGCUGUCAACGAUCCCUUCAUCACCACCCGACUACAUGGUAAGUAAUUUACAUGGGUUUCCGCCUGUGACUGAAAACAGGUUCUCAGCUGAGUAGAUAGAAGUAUGCAGGGUUGCCAGGGCAUACAAUUCAUUAGUUGUGGGAUAUGUAUAUAUCUCGUCACGUCCCAUGCAGACACAUACCAACAUUUCAGGAUCGGGUGGAUUGAGUCUUAAAAUUGAAAAUUAGUUUAUAUGACAAAUUGAAAAAAAAAAGAAAAAAAAAAGUAAGCAAGCUCAUAUGACAUUUAAAAAAAAAAAUUCUUGUUCUCAAUUGUAGAACAUAGCUCUAACCACUUAUUGCACAAACACAUAAACCAUGACGAUGAUACGUUUGUUAGUUCUCAGUUUUUAUUUUGGACUUGGAAGUUGUGGGCACGGUGUUGCUGUUAGGAACGGAUUCAACUCUGAUGUACCUCUAACUAAUGCAUUGGUGACCGGUUCUGUCAAAACCGCUGCCAGCUUGUUCCGGUUGCAGAGAAAAAUGUGAUUUCUUGUUGCUCCAUGAUUGCUCUUUCACACUUAACAGGCAAGAACACUUACAUCUAUGAUAGGUGAAGAGAGAAAUUUCCUUGAAAUGAGGUGGUUUAUAGAACACUCAAGGCUCAAGCCAACCCCUAAGAUAUGUCUCUAAUUAAUGAUGUGUAAGACAUACUUACAUGUAAAUUUCUCUAAUGUCACUGAUCAAAUUGGAAAUUAUUAAUUUAUAUUUGUUAAGAUGAUAAGUUACUUAAAAAAAAUAAAAAAAGGACUCGUGACAUUGCUUCUCUAGAAAGUGCUUAAGCUAGAAGUGCUUCUAUUAUAACCACAUUGAAAUUUUUAUUAGAAACUCAAGUACAUUCUAAAAAACCACUUAAGGAUGCUUUUCGAAAAUAAAAAAAAGGCGUAUGCUUCUCCAUGAACCGCUUCUUUGAGCCAUAUGAACAAUUUAAACAAACCCCUAACUAGCGAGCAUGGCCUAGCCCAACCCCCAAUAUUACUCUUAGAAGCAACGAAAUUGAGAUGUAAAAACAUGUUUUCAUGGUCUUUAUAGAGGAAAAAGAUAGGGUAAAAUGACCUAAAUGGGUAAGAUUUAUAAACAAGUUGAUUCAUGCUUCAUAAUUGCAUCAGUUCCUUUGCAGUUUGUAGUAAAUGUCUACGUACCUUCCUUACAAGUCUCUUUACUGCGCUUUCCUUCAAUUCACUGUUGUUUUGUCAUCGUCAAAGCUUUCAAUAUUAAGAUCAAACCUUAAUAUUUUGCAGACCUCAUCAGAUGAGUGGCCUCUUUAACUCUGUACCAUCGUCAGUGUCGUCAUCAAACUCAUAUGGUAUAAUCUGAUAGUCUUCCUCAUCAGUAUCAUCAUCUCACGCUGUCACGCCCCGAUCCCCACAUACGUCCAGGAUCGACACUUGACGUCAUCAAAUAACCACAUAUCUAACAUACCCCGCCUCCAAGAUAUGUACAAAGCACAACUCGAGAAUCGAAUCGCAUAGAAGUAUUUCGUAUACUUUAUGGCUGCAUCUAACCUCUUCGUUAGACUGCCUACAUACCCUCAUUAGGGAUCAAGCCAUUCGUAGUUCGUCAUUCAUUACACCUCGACAUUUAUCACAAUACGUUCAAAUCGAAAAGCAUAGCAUUCCUCAAUCAAUUAUUAGAACUUAACAAGCAUGAAUUACUAGAUUCAUGGUUACAUAACAAAUCCACAUGACAUUCAAGGUUUCCAUUCCAUCCAUCAUAUAAAUCACUAUGUUUUCAACGUGAUAUCUCCAUCCACAACAUGUAACUUAUCCAAUAACCAACGAAGCACAAUAUUAUUCUUAAGCCACAUUGAUCACUAAAUAAUCAUAAUAAUAACAAUCAUAUUCAACAUCAUUCCACAAUUCCCGUCAAUUAAUCCCUUCAUGAAUCAAGGAUGCAUGAUCUUAGCAUUUAACUACGUUAAUCAAUCAAUGAGAUAACAUACCAUUUCACCAAUUCAAUUAGAGAACUCUAUAUAAUUCCCUACUUGGGUUAUGAGUAAUAACAUGGUAAUUCUAAUUUAUAUUCACAAGGUCUAUGGAUAAUUCCCAUUUGCUCGAAUCUAGGGUUCUAGACUAACCUUUUGGAACGUGCAAGAGUAAGGAUUUCGGACCACUCAACGGAAUUCAACCACAUCGGGUUCCAGACCACUCAACGGAACCAAAAUAUCAAUCGGUUUCUCGUAAUCUAUCCAGACCUGUUGCAUGUAAAAUCAGUGCCUACAUCAUGGAAAUGGUGCAUUGGGUAAUUCAGAACUUGGAUAAGUUGUGAAACUCAGGUGAACGACAAUAAUACAAAGUGUGAUAAUAGUGAUAAAACCAACCAUCAAUCACAGUUUAUAAACUUUGAAUAUGAAUCAUUCAUAAGAAAUUAAUACCAAACCUUCGCAAACUCUGAAGGAGUCACCCAAACAUCCAACGGUUCGUCUGAAACAAUCACAACAUCUCAUAACCAUAUUCUCAUACAACACCAUGAAAAGUAGGGUUAGAGCGACAUAGUUCGGCCGAAGCCUAUACCUUUGAAGCUAUCUCAAUCCAAACUCAAUGAAACCCAAGGUGAAUACAAUUCCGGAACUUCACUCAACGGAAUCGCGGAGUAGAAGGGAUUCUGGACCAUCUCUCAUGGAAUCCAAGUGGAUACGAUUCCGGAACAUCACUCAACGGAAUCGCGGAAGGCCAACAACCAUAAUGUACAACGGCUCAAAGAAAUGAGACAAGCACAAGCUACUAAAUUUACAAAAGCUUAACCAAGGGAAAUAAGGCACAUAUGCUAAAUUUAAAACGAAUCAACGAAGAGGGAAAAGAAACAAUAUCGAAGCAACAUAUCCCCAAUCACAACGGGUUCACAGUCCACCACUAGUCUUCACAUUUCAUCACAUCAAGCCAACCAUACAAAGCAAACCAUGUUUCUAAUAUGCACGUCAAAUCCCACAUCAUAAACUAUAACGAUGGCACUUUAUAGAAAACAUAAUCAUAAAACCGUCUCAUACCCUCUCAGGAUAAUAAUUAUGAAAAUAGAGUAAUCACCUGUAACAUAUAUUAAAGUCACUCACCCUUUUUUUUUUAUGUACAUAUACAUGAGUCAAAAUAAACACACAAGAGGGAGCCUUCACAAAGGUUGCUUAGGAGAAGUCUCAGCAGUCGGUAGAGCCCCAGAAAGAGAAGGCACCGGAGGGGGAUCAUUUGGAGCCUCAGUACUGGACAGAACCCUAGAAGGAGGAGGCAUCAGAGGUUGAUCAUUUGGAGCUUCAUUACGCGGUACAGCCCCAGAUGACGAAGGCAAUAAAUGCCUUUGGAACAAACCCACAAAUCUCUGAUGAUCAAGUAAAACCUGACCAUCAGUUUCCUUCAUCUGGUCAAGCUUCCUCUUCAUGUUUGUAGCAUAGUCAUGUGCGAGCCGGUGCAACUGUUUAUUCUCCUGUUUGAGACCUCUAAUCUCCUGUUUGAGACUCAUCACUUCAGCCGCCAAUGAUUCAACUUGGCGGGUUCGAGCAAAUAGGCGUUGGGCCAUAUUAGACACAGAACCUGCACACUGAACACUGAGAGCCAGCGAAUCCUUAACAGCUAACUCAUCAGACCGUUUGGAAAGUAGUCUGUUAUCUUUGGGAGUGAGAAGGUUCCUGGCCACCACCGCAGCGGUCAUAUCAUUCUUCAUCACGGAAUCCCCAACGGUAAGAGGACCAGUAAGGGAGACGAAGGAUGGGCGCCAUAUGUUGUCUGGAGAAGGCGGGGCUGCCUCUUCAACAAGGUUCAAGUCAAAACGACGGUCGGAGGGGCCAGACAUUUUCAAAGGUGUUGAAGAGAGAAGAGGUCGGACAAAUCAAGAUCUUAGAAGUGCAAGAAUGAAGCUUCUACUGGUGGAGAUUCAAGUGUGCUUUGGAACGUAAUGCCAGCCCCUAUAAAAAUCUGCACUCGACGGAGCUUCAGAAAUCGAAGAGGCGCCUGCUCAGAAAUCGAAGAGGCGUUUGCUUUCUCAAAAGCUGGGCUGCUUAGAGAUCACGAGGGUUGAUCUCAGAAAUCGAAGAGGCGUUUGCUUUCUCAAAAGUUGGGCUGCUCAAAGACCACGAAGGCUAAUCUCAGAAAUCGAAGAGGCGCUCGCUUUCUCAAAAGCUGGGCUCCCCAGAGACCACGAGGGCCGAUCUCAGAAAUCGAAGAGGCACCUACUUUUCCAGCCUUGUCAGCACCUGUCACACGCACACUCAGCUUUGCGGAAAUUAUGGGCAUUCUGUCGAAGACUUCUGGGGAAGUAGAAAACACAUGAAUCUUACUGUUCAAUCACCCACUUCCCACACGCAACAAUAGCUCAUGGGUACCACAGAAAACUUUGCCAAAGUUCUCUGCCAAAGUUGAGCACGUGAAGCUUGCAGGUCCCCACUACAUCGCUCUGACCAAGAAGGGUAAAAGAAUAGCAAAGAAAUAGCACUAACAAAGUUUAGACCUAUAAAUUUUGAAGGUCUAGCUACCAUAUUAUUACCCACAAGGGUAAAGGAACAGUACCACUGCUGGAUAAUUGGAAAGUCCCUGUGUGUCAACCUCUGUGCUUCGUGGCAAGGUAGACUAGCAAAACAUGCCCAACCUUUACUCACAUUCGAGAAAACACUCCCAAUAAGAUUGCUUGCUCCAAAAGCCAGACUCCCAACAUGACUACUUUCUUAAAAAUCGAAGAGAGGGUAAAGGAACAGUACCAUUGCUGGAUAAUUGGAAAGUCCCUGUGUGUCAACCUCUGUGCUUCGUGGCAAGGUAGACUAGCAAACAUGCCCAACCUUUACUCACAUUCGAGAAAACACUCCCAACAAGAUUGCUUGCUCCAAAAUCGAAGAGGCACCGCCCUCCGAAUCUCGAGAGCCAGACUCCCAACAUGAUUACUUUCUCAAAAAUCGAAGAGACACUGCUCCCCGAAUCUUCGAGAGCCAGACCCCCAGCAUGAUUGCUUUCUCAAAAAUCGACGAGGCAUCGUUCUUCGAAUCAAUCGAAAAGGCGCUCGCUUUCUCAAAAGCUGGGCUGCUCAGAGACCACGAGGCUCGAUCUCAGAAAUCGAAGAGGCACCUACUUUUCUAGCCUUGUCAGCACCUGUCACACGCACACUCAGCUUUGCAGAAAUUAUGGGCAUUCUGUCGAAGACUUCUGGUGAAGUAGAAAGCACAUGAAUCUUACUGUUCAAUCACCCACUUCCCACACGCAACAAUAGCUCAUGGGUACCACAGAUAACUUUGCCAAAGUUCUCUGCCAAAGUUGAGCACGUGAAGCUUGCAGCUCCCACUAAAUCGCUCUGACCAAGAAAGGUAAAAGAAUAGCAAAGAAACAGCACUAACAAAGUUUAGACACAUAAAUUUUGAAGGUCUAGCUACCAUAUUAUUACCCACAAGGGUAAAGGAACAGUACCACUGCUGGAUAAUUGGAAAGUCCCUGUGUGUCAACCUCUGUGCUUCGUGGCAAGGUAGACUAGCAAACAUGCCCAACCUUUACUCACAUUCGAGAAAAACACUCCCAACAAGAUUGCUUGCUCCAAAAUCGAAGAGGCACCGUCCUCCGAAUCUCGAGAGCCAGACUCCCAACAUGACUACUUUCUCAAAAUCGAAGAGAGGGUAAAGGAACAGUACCAUUGCUGGAUAAUUGGAAAGUCCCUGUGUGUCAACCUUUGUGCUUCGUGGCAAGGUAGACUAGCAAACAUGCCCAACCUUUACUCACAUUCGAGACAACACUCCCAAUAAGAUUGCUUGCUCCAAAAUCGAAGAGGCACCGCCCUUCGAAUCUCGAGAGCCAGACUCCCAACAUGAUUACUUCCUCAAAAAUCGAAGAGACACUGCUCUCCGAAUCUCGAGAGCCAGACCCCCAGCAUGAUUGCUUUCUCAAAAAUCGAAGAGGCAUCGUUCUCCGAAUCUCGAGAGCCAGAUACCACAGACCACUUUUUCAAAGUGCUCUGACAGAGUUAAAACAUGUGAAACUGGCAGCUCCCACUACCGUGAUAUGACCAAGCAGGGUAAAGGAAUAGCAUUACUACUUGUUAGGGAGACUCCUAUAUAUGUCGACCUCCAUCCCCAACGAACAGGCAGACCUGCAAAAAUGCUCAACCCUUCAUCAUAUAUGAGAGGGCACUCCCAACGAAACCUUUCGAAAUAUUCAGCUUUCUUUCCCCCCGAUAAUACCUCUGCAAACAAGCUAUACUAGAGCAAGAAUAUCUCAUAUCAUCAGGGUUAAAAGCAAGAGUAUCCCAUAUCAUGCUUUUUCCCUGUCUUUUCCUUUGGCCUUGUUUUUACCUGCAAGACAAGGAGAAAGAGAGCAAUCAGUCAGCACUUGGAAUCAAGCUUCCAGCCAGGAACUGACUGCCUGGAACCGCUUACCUGAUUACUUACCUGGCAUUGCUCUCGAGUACUCAUCUUCAACAUCUUAUGUUUCCAGGGAAGAUUCCGCAUCUGCUUGAGGAACAGAUAGGGCAAGUGCGAAGGAUACAAGGAAGCAUGUGGAGACAAGCGUAACAGCACACGUGCCGAUACAUCCAUUACUCUGUCAAAAGCAAAAGUAUCCCAUAUCAGCAGGGUGGAACGUACUCUAGAUUUGAUGGACUUGUUUUGACCCUCAAAUUCUUCAGUCGGCCUUAUACUCUGGAGGAAACCAGAAAACCCUCCAGCUCAGUUCAAGAAUAAGCCUGUGGAAAGUUACUUCUUCAAAAGCAAAAGUAUCUCAUAUCAUCUCUUCUCAUUUUUCUUCUCUUUAUCCUUCAUGCUGCUGAAAGAUGGGGAGAAGGUGAACAAUCAGUUGGAGCUUUGAUUGCUUACCUUGUCUGUCACCUCUUUCAGCAGACCCCCUAGCUCGGCGACUUGGGGGACUCCUACUACAUGGUUUGUAUCGCGCUUGACCAAGCCUGAAACUACAAGUAAGCUUCAAGUGAAAUUGAUACAUUACCUUGUGCAUCUCCACCAGUUAAAGAUACCACCCCUGGAUGGAGGAAGAGUACUUCCAGAGAAGAUGCCACAUCUACCUAUGAGACAGAUAAGGCAAGUCAAGACGACACCACACUCCGAUACUUAGAAGUUUCGUGAUUACGAGAUCAUUCUCCCACAAUAUUUCCUAAUGUCAUUUGUACUAAAUCAUUCACUUGUACUCACUAAAGGAGAGCUUGAACCUAUGUACUUGUGUAAACCCUUCACAAUUAAUGAGAACUUUUCUAUUCCGUGGACGUAGCCAAUCUGGGUGAACCACGUACAUCUUGUGUUUGCUUUCCUAUCUCUAUCCAUUUAUAUACUUAUCCACACUAAUGACCGGAGCAAUCUAGCGAAGAUCACAAAAAGCGACCGUUUUCGCUACCUAGGAUCUAUCUUGCAAGAGAACGGAGAAUUAGAUGGAGAUCUCAACCAUAGAAUACGAGCUGGAUGGAUGAAGUGUAAGAAUGCAUCCGGCGUGUUGUGUGUGACCGUCGUAGGCCACUGAAGCUCAAGGGAAAAUUUUAUAGGACGGCAAUAAGGCCAGCGAUGUUGUAUGGCACAGAAUGUUGGGCGGUGAAGCAUCAACACGUACACAAAAUGGGGUGUAGCGGAGAUGAGGAUGCUUCGUGGGAUGUGUGGGCACACGAGAAAGGAUAAGAUUGGGAAUGAGGAUAUCCGAGGUAAAGUAGGAGUAGCCGAAAUUGUAGGAAAGAUGAGAGAAAAUCGGCUCCGGUGAUUUGGACAUGUGCAAAGAAGGCCGAAUGACGCUCCGGUUCGAAGAUGUGACUACGGGACAGAGGUUCAGGGCCGAAGGGGUAGAGAAAGACCUAGGAAAUCUUUGGAAGAGACUCUAAGAAAAGACUUAGAGUACUUGGAUCUAACGGAGGAUAUGACACAAAACCGAGCGCAAUGGCGUUCUAGGAUUCAUAUAGCCGACCCCACUUAGUGGGAAAAGGCUUUGUUGUUGUUGUUGUUGAACCAUACAUAUUAUUUCUCAUCCAUGAAAUCAACAUUUUAACGUUCUAUUCCUAUGCUUGUAACCUUCAUUCUCCAUCCUUUAAUAAACCAACCCAAAGUUAAUGGUUUUUCAACUUAAAACACCACCUCUUCACUCAUGCCACUACCCCUUUUGACAUGUAUAUGCGGCAAUAUAUAUAUAUAUAUAUUAAUUAAGAGAAACUAGAUCGUUUACUAAUAACUUGAAUAUAACUACUAGUAAACAAUCUAAACUCUUAAACCCCAACUAAACACACUCAAAUAAGCACAAGAUUAACAAGGAUGUCAUUUCAACUAUAAUUCCCUUCUAGGUCUAGAUGCUUGGUAACGAAAGAAGUAUCUCAUAAAUCUAAUGUCACAUAUCGGAAAAUUCGACUUUUUCCAAAAAUUCUCAAAUUUUACAAGAAUGAAGGUCUCAACAAGUAGAGUAAAUUUUAUAUUUGUGGCCAAGUCCAAUUUGACCGGGAAGGCUCUCAAAUUGGCUCGUAUCCAUCGAAAACCCUAAGGUGGGUGUUCUUCAAUUCGGCUUCCUUGGUGUUCCAAUGCCCCUACAACUAAUUGGGUCUUGUUCUUGGGUCCAAGAGAAGUUGAUCAAGGGUGAUGUGAAUGGUGAUACUCUCCAGAAUGACAAUUCGUCGUCGAGAACCCCCGGGUUCUCCUAUGGAGUUCUACAUGAAAUAGACCUUAAAAACCCUUGAUAUUUGGUGGAGGUGGAAGGAGGAAUGUAGUUGAGCAGGUUGCAGGUGAAGGAGAUAAGAAAAUCAGUUGAGAAAUGGUAGAAAUUUGCAUGAAGUUGGCCGGAUCAAAACCAUUUUUUUUUUUGUGGUGCACGGGUUCACCAAAUGGGGGGGACUCCUUUCCCUCCUUUUCUUUCUUCACUCGCCACUCCCGUGGCUUUAUCUUUUUUUUUUUUUUUUAAGCAACACAACUUCAAACUUCCGUAAUUAUACCGUUAUAAUCCGGACUCGCAAAUGGUUUUCGCCUAUGCUUUCGUGACUUCAAGACCUAUUCGAAAACGUUACUUGUGACCUCGAAAGGUCAACGAGUAAAUAAUAAUUCCAAACUUCACUCUUCGUAACUAGAUUAAUUGAAAUCUAAUUUCAAAUAAAUUAAUAUAAAUUCUCAAAAAGUAAUAUAAAUCUCAAUAAUACAAUUACGUAGAUUAUAACAGUGAAAUCCAGAAACGGGAUUUCACACACCCUUAUGGUACGCGCUCAUAGUUCACUUUUUUUAUUUCUGAAGGUAAACAAUGUUCCCAUCCUACAGAAUUUACUCCUGUUUUCUUCACCUUAAAUUGAUGAUCAUCCUCUGUUCCAAAAAAUUCUGCAUGCACACGAACCUUGUCGCCACUUUUCAGAUUGAGCUUCCUGUUUGAAAGACUUCCCAGCCAAAGAUAAUCUUCAUGGGAGCCAGUUAUGGUGGCAUCCAUUCACCAGAUGGAAAAAUAAGUUCGCUGGGAAGGAUUAACCACAUCAAUCCAUAAAGACCCACUACACUGCGAUGGUCCAAAGAAUAAACGAUGCACACAGCCAACCCUCCUAUAUAAUCAAUACUUGGCGGCACAUCAAAUUUGACAUUUUCAUCCUCUGUCACGACAUAGGUUAACCAUUAAGGAAUAACAUUUCAAGAGCGACCGAUUCCUCCAAAUACAUCCCCCACGUUCCAUUUCUACAACGCGGCGUGCAAAGUUUGUAUAAGCAACAAUACGAGAAGGGCACAGAGAGAGAGAGAGAGAUCGAGGCUAUCAUGCAACAAAAUAUAAAACUCAUCUAGGACAAUUAUGACUAUUGUGAAUUGGUAAUAUUAUCGAUGGAUAUGUUAUAUGAUCUUCAAACUCGCUAUAGCAUGAUUUUUUUUUUUUGUAUCCUUUUCGUCAACUUCAUCUGUUUUUCUAUUAAGUAGAGAUGAUAAACUUAAAAUUCAUCCCACAACCUAAAAAAUGGAAAAAAGAAAAAAGAAAAAAAGGAGGUGGAUGUACAAAAUCCUUGCUAUGCCCUCUAUAUUUAACAAAAAAAUAAAUUGAGUUAACGGAUAUAAUUGAAGUACCACAUGAGAUUGAGUUUGAGAACCACAAUAAGAAAAUAAGAAAAACUAUUCUAGAAUGAAGGUAAAAUUCGUGACAACAAUGCCGUAUAUCUAAAAAAUAGUUCAUGCAUAUUUAGAUGUUAACACAUAGUCAUUUAUCUCGUUUAUUGAACAAACAACGAGGACAACAAUGUUGUUUUCUCUCUUUUGAAAUUCAUAAACAAAAUUGAGAUUUCUUGGUGACUCCUCUGUCCCUCAGGACCAACAAGGGGUAAUACAGGAAUAUUCACCUGUUGUCCAUUGACUAUGCCUUUUGGCCUGAUCUUAGGCCCCGACUCACUCUCCGUGGACAAACCUUGCGAAGGAACCUUUAGGUUUUCGGGGCAUCGGAUUUUCACCAAUGUUUGCGUUACUCAUGCCGACAUUCUCGCUUCCGCUCCGUCCACGUCUAAUUGCCAUUUUGUUUGGGCUUCUCCUUUCUGUUCUUACCGUCUCUUCCAUUUGGAAGCUUCUGGUCAUUAAUUUUUUUAGCUUCAUUAGAAGAUGCUCCCAUUUGGCCCCUGUAAGGAAUGAAAUUGAAUUUCGUGUUCAGCUAUUUAAAGAUUCAACUCUAAGUUUUGUCAAUAGCAAUUAAGUAAGAACAGGUAUGAUCAAGCUUAUAAACAAAUCACAACAACAUUACAAAUCAGAAACAUGUACAAGGUAAUGCAGUUAUAUCCAAUUCUUUUGUGCUUUCUCCACAAAAGUUCCUCCACAUUAACGUAACUCUAUAUCAAUUAAUCUAUCAUACAAGACUAGAAAUAAUCGGCAAUUGAAAAAUAAGACAACACGAGCUUCCGUCCAGUAAAAUUUUCAUCCAAAGACAGUAGGCAAAACCAAAAACGUACAAACCUUCAAUGCCGUUGUAUAAUCUCUCCCUUCCCAAUAUGCUCAUCAAGCAAUUCCGGCACAUUACCAGGAGUGGCGAAGGGAUACCUGCAAUUAAUAAUACAUAAUAUUCAUACUCCUUCAUCGAUCCCAAUACGAUAAAUUUUAAAUUGUUAUGAUCCAGAUAUUACCAAUGAUCUGUUAUGCUUCCAUCUGAACCUAGGUUGUAGAUAUCCAAGUUUCCAGCAUACUUGUGGCCUCCAAUGUGAAAGCAAGCAGUAACGAAUACCUGAUCCGUCAAUCCUCGCAGCUCAGCCUCCUGUUUGAACUUAUCAAUGAGAGUACGUGCAUGAUAACGAUCCCAUUUAUCUUGACUCAUACGUGCGCAUAUAAAUACAUAGGGGCCAGUCAGCGGCUCUUGCACUCCAGAAGCCCAUGGUUUGUGAUUCAUAAGGACAUCAUCAACAAAGCUGUCCACAUCCGACUCUUUCAAGCCCCUUUGAUCAACAAACAAAAACAACCUCAAAAUCACAAGAAAGGAUUUACAGGCAAGCAAUUAGUCGUAAACGGAGCCAUUAAAUUCAAUUUCUACAACUAAUUUCAGAAGCUAACACAUAUCUAAUUAUCCAUUUAGGUCAGUAAAUUCAUGUUGGUUAUGGAAUGGGCCCUCGAUUAUGAAUUAAUUACGGUUUGCCAUUGUGUGUGCUAGUGUGGCCCAUGCUUAACAGCUGGGUUGGGCUGCUGCAUUUAGGUGUGUGUUUGCUAGCUGGCUGGCUGGUGGGUGAGUCUUAGAUACAAACCCAAUCUUAUUAAUUAAAUUUGGCCUUUGGUGUGCUCAAACUGCUAUGGGGGAUGGUUAGAAUUUUGAGCCCGGGAUGCAGUAGGACCAAGAGCAAUCCACCACUUGCAGAAUUGUUGUCAAAGUAACUCUGCUAAAAAUAUGAGCUAUACUUCCUGCACUAUGCUUUUACUGUGAAGUGGAAAUAGUCUUUAGAGAGGCUUAUUUGGGAUAAUUGAUAAAGAGGUUUGUGUUUAAGACUUGAGAGUAGUGCGGUGUCUUUCUUGCUGGUUCUGCUCACACCACCUCAUCUAGCCAUUGUGAUGGAGUACACGGCUGGGUGAGAACACUUGGAGAGAAUAUGCAGUGCUGGCAGAUUUAGUGAGGAUGAGAUAAAGUAGUUUCCAACGCAGAGAAAAUUUCAUUGGAAAUGAUUUUAGUGUAGAGUCUCAAAUAUGGGAUCUCUGAAUGUCCCCUGAAAUGGAAUCCAUCUCAAUUUUCGUUUAGUUUCAGAUAGGGAAAGUUAGGUCUGAAGCAUUUUUACAUAAAUAGUCAGUCAUAAUAUAACUAAAACUUACUUUUUCGAUUUAAUUGUUGUUUUGCAUCAAGCAAGGUUUUUCUUCCAGCAAUUAUAUCAGGAGUUAGCUACUGUCAUUUAAUGGUAUGUAAUGUGGCACUUUUUUGCUAAUGCGUUGUAUACUGUUAUUUCUUUCUCUUUUGAUAUUGGAAGUGUUGGUUGUAUUAAUGAAAUAAUUCGUUUCAAUAGUAUAUGACUUAGUUUUAAUAGUAUUAUUCAGUUUUCUAAUAGCACUCGGGUGGGAACGUGGGUCGGCUCAUGUUUUAGUCUCUCCAUCGUAAGCAAUUUUACAUGGCAUUCUUCAAUGUGGCUAUAGGUAAGACAACACUCUCAGUAUUCCAUAAUCAAACCACCAUUUGAACUUUUUUCGUCCACCAAGUUAAGCUUUUAUGUGCCAUCUUGAAUAGUUAUAAGUUAUUGAUUCAGAUUGCUCCAGUGAGACAUUGUUGUUCUAUUGCUUACCUCUCAAGCUUGCUUAAUAUACUUAUUCUUAUUACUGUUGUAUUGUUAAGAAAUACUCAACUGCGAUUUCAGUUCAUUGUUAUGAAUCAGAUUCAAAUUAACCACUCACUAGUUAAUUAUCUAAAUCCUAUAAAUUUGGAUUAAAAUUAAAGCAACUCCAGAACAAAAACCUCAAGAAAUCGAUGCGAAUUUACCUGUAUUUGAUCAUUUGUGGGAAAAUCAACACAUCGCCGUCGGAAAACUCAGUUCCUUCAUGUCCUUCAAUUACAGUCAUCGACGUCUAUCAAAAAACCAAGAAAAAAAGUAAGUAACGGAGUCAGCUCAGCUCAACACCAGAACUCAGUAGCUCCAGGAAAUAAGAAACGUCAGAAACACCAACGAAUUGGGUUGGAAAACGGACCUUAAAGGUGAUGUCGUUCUUGCGAGCUUUGAGAGCGGAAGUGAAGAACUUAGGGAGUGGAUCGGACUUAGAGCCGUUGAUGCACCACGGCCAGGCCUCGGGGGUCUUGUAGCAGAAGAAAACGUGGCGAAUGUCCAACUGUGUAUCGUCAUCAGUGUCUUCAUCAGACAAAUCCCAUUUUACCAUAUCCACUCCUGUUUUGUUCUCCUUAAUUCUAUUAUCUCCUCCAUAAAAUUCCGCUUUUAGAAGAACCAUGUCACCGCCUUUCAGAUUGAGCUUCUUGUUUGAAAGAUUUCCCAACCAAAGAUAAUAUUCAUGGGAAGCAGUUACGGUGGCCUUCAUUGGCCAGAUGCGAAACUUAGUUCGCUGGGUACAAUUAACAACAUCAAUGCAUAGAGACCCGGUAGAGUCGGAGUUGUCUAAAGAAUAAACGAUGCCCAAAGCCAACCCUCCUAUAUAAUCAAUACUUGGCGGCACUUGAAAUUUGACAGUUUUAUCCUCUCCCGUGACAUAGGCUAACCAGUUAGGAAUAUCAUUUCCGGAGAGAAAAAUUCCACCAAAUGCAUUUCUCUACAACAUGGGGUGCAAAGUCAGUAUAAGCAACAAUACAGAGAGAGAGAGAGAGAGAGAGAGAGAGAGAGAGAGAGAUACCCUUCGGAGGUUCUCCUUAAAAGUAUCAGUGAGACUGGUACACCCUUCCAUAAGAAUUGAAUACAUGUGGUCCAAUGAGUUCUCCAAGUUUGGAAUAUCUUUGAGUUUGCGGCAGUUCGGCAAAUCUGACAUUGUUUUACCUAUAUUGCCCAUACCCCUAAUUCCAAUUAUUUGAACAUCAGGUGAACGUCCAACAUCUAAGUAUUCAGUACUGACGUCUAAGUAUUCAGUACUGAAGUUCUGCACACGAGAAGUCAUUCCAUCUGAGUGCUUGGCUUCUUUUAAGUCUGCAGUUUUCAAUAGUUCCUUGAUGUUCCCAACAAUUUUCUCGAUAAACACUCCUUCACGCCUACGAGUAGGAAUUCCAAAUUACGUGAGCCAUACUAAAUGCCUUAUUCAUAAUGACUAGAUAUUUACAUAUUGAAACAGAUUUGAAUAAACUGGAUUAAUUGAGCUCAAUUCAACCACGUAUCUAAUCUUCGAUUAUAAUGUAAAUACAUCAGAUCAUUGGUCAUCGGACUAUUACACAAUUGUAGCCUUCAGAUUUAUAAUUAAGAAUCCAUAACAAUUGGUAUUUUAAUUUGAUAAAGUGGAGCAUUUGUCCUUCACACACCCAUAAAAAACAAAGCACGACCCUACAUUUCACUUCCUUAAUUUCAAUGAAAAUUCUUAUGAAAAUGCUCUACCUUUUAUAAAAUUCAUAUACCAAUUAUAAUAAAUUUUUAUGUAGGGACCAAAAUUACAGUUCUAUCAUUGUUCAGGAUCAACGAUCCAAUUUUUCUUCUAACAUAUAAACUCAGAUCCAAUGCCUUAAUUAUAAAAUCUUAAUUUUGGUUGAUUAGUGAAAUAUGGUGAUACGAAAUUUGAAGUAAACAAAAAAGUAUACCCGUCGGCCGUGGUUUUGAGGUUCCAGCCAACCAAAUCUGCAGAAGCCUUAAGAUCCUCUCUCCACUGCUUGACCUCGUUUGGAUCUUCAUCCCAUUCAUGCUUCUGAAAUGCUUUCCCAAAACUAUCAUUCUGUUUCCUGACUUGAGAAGGGUCAACGUCGUAGAAUAUUGGACAUACUAUUUUCCCCUCUUGAUCUUUUAGGCACCUCAUGAUCUUCGACAGCUCCCUCAGGCACCAUCGGGACUCCGCGUACCUCUUCGAGAAGAUGAUGACGGCGAUUCUCGACCCUUCGAUUUCUUGGUCAAGUUCACUCUGUAUGUUUCCCCCCCUUGUGAGCUGGUAGUCUAUGGAAGUGUUGAUUCCGGCAUUGCGUAACGCAAUGAAGAGGUGGUCUGUGAAGGUAGUGCGCGUGUCGUCGCCUCUAAAGCUCAGGAACACCUCGUACUUCCACCGGUUUGAGCUCUGCGAGGAAGACGAAGAGGCUGCAACGCCGGCUCCAUGGGCGGAGCUGCUGGUAUCCAUUGUAGCCUGUAGAAGUGCAGCUUGGCUUUCAAAUAACCAAAGUCAAGUCUUUCCCAAGAUUCCCCGGUGUAGGCAGCCCUUUUAAAUUUUUUUGCAUGGGUCAAUGAUGUCACUGCCGUGUCGAUAACGUGUGAGUGCUAUUCCUCCGACAAUUUAAUUUGUAUAAAUGUCACCAUCAAAUUUUAAUAAAAAUUGUAUAACUGCUACGAUGCAAUUUCCUUUCUUCUGUAGUUUUUUUGAGAAAUCUGCUGCCCAAUUUUGACCAGUUGACGUGCGCAGGUCAAUCCAACUGUCCCUGCUGGUGGACGGAAGAAUCUUUGUUAGAGUAGGAAUUCCAAAUUACGCUUUAUUCAUAAUGACUAGAUAUUUACAUAUUGAAACAGAUUUGAAUAAAUUGGAUUAAUUGAGCUCAAUUCAACCAUGUAUCUAAUCUUCGAUUAUAAUGUGAAUACAUCAGAUCAUUGGUCAUCGGACUAUUACACAAUUGUAGCCUUCAGAUUUAUAAUUAAGAAUCCAUAACAAUUGGUAUUUUAAUUUGAUAAAGUGGAGCAUUUGUCCUUCACACACCCAUAAAAAACAAAACACGUACCCUACGUUUCACUUCCUUAAUUUCGAUGAAAAUUCUUAUGAUGUGACUGCCGUGUUGAUGAAAAUUCUUAUGAUGUGACUGUCGUGUCGAUAACGCGCGAGUGCUAUUCCUCCCACAAUUUAAUUUGUAUAAAUGUCACCAUCAAAUUUUAAUAAAAAAUUGUAUAUAACUGCUACGAUGCAAUUUCCUUUCUUUUGUGAGAAAUCUGCUGCCCAAUUUUGGCCAGUUGACGUGCGCAGGUCAAUCCAACUGUCCCUGCUGGUGUACGGAAGAAUCUUUGUCGGAGUAGGAAUUCCAAAUUACGUGAGCCAUACUAAAUGCUUUAUUCAUAAUGACUAGAUAUUUACAUAUUGAAACAGAUUUGAAUAAAUUGGAUUAAUUGAGCUCAAUUCAACCAUGUAUCUAAUCUUCGAUUAUAAUGUGAAUACAUCAGAUCAUUGGUCAUCGGACUAUUACACAAUUGUAGCCUUCAGAUUUAUAAUUAAGAAUCCAUAACAAUUGGUAUUUUAAUUUGAUAAAGUGGAGCAUUUGUCCUUCACACACCCAUAAAAAACAAAGCACGUACCCUACGUUUCACUUCCUUAAUUUCGAUGAAAAUUCUUAUGAUGUGACUGCCGUGUCGAUGAAAAUUCUUAUGAUGUGACUACCGUGUCGAUAAAGCGCGAGUGCUAUUCCUCCCACAAUUUAAUUUGUAUAAAUGUCACCAUCAAAUUUUAAUAAAAAUUGUAUAACUGCUACGAUGCAAUUUCCUUUCUUUUGUGAGAAAUCUGCUGCCCAAUUUUGGCCAGUUGACGUGCGCAGGUCAAUCCAACUGUCCCUGCUGGUGGACGGAAGAAUCUUUGUCGGAGUAGGAAUUCCAAAUUACGUGAGCCAUACUAAAUGCUUUAUUCAUAAUGACUAGAUAUUUACAUAUUGAAACAGAUUUGAAUAAAUUGGAUUAAUUGAGCUCAAUUCAACCACGUAUCUAAUAUUCGAUUAUAAUGUGAAUACAUCAGAUCAUUGGUCAUCGGACUAUUACACAAUUGUAGCCUUCAGAUUUAUAAUUAAGAAUCCAUAACAAUUGGUAUUUUAAUUUGAUAAAGUGGAGCAUUUGUCCUUCACACACCCAUAAAAAACAAAGCACGUAUCCUACGUUUCACUUCCUUAAUUUCGAUGAAAAUUCUUAUGAUGUGACUGCCGUGUCGAUAACGCGCGAGUGCUAUUCCUCCCACAAUUUAAUUUGUAUAAAUGUCACCAUCAAAUUUUAAUAAAAAUUGUAUAACUGCUACGAUGCAAUUUCCUUUCUUUUGUGAGAAAUCUGCUGCCCAAUUUUGGCCAGUUGACGUGCGCAGGUCAAUCCAACUGUCCCUGCUGGUGGACGGAAGAAUCUUCGUUGGAGUAUCAAUGGGAAGAGACCUCAUCUCCAACAACCUAUCUUAACAAAAGAUGCAGAAAAUUAAACGCCAAGAGGCUACUUUCUUUAUUUUGUGAACAGUAACGAACUAGAAGGAUCAGUGUCGUAAAAUAAGUAAUUUACUUGCCCAAAAUAAGAAUCAAUUUAGCUACGAAACCAAGGAGAUGAUUGAGCUCAAGAUAGCAGCUUUUAUCCUAUCGUCUUGCAAGGAAAACAAGCUACGAAUUGCUUGCAUCAUCCGAAGCUAUCCAACCAAUGGUUGAAUUUCUCAGUCAAGACUAUGCUGAAGGCAUCAGUGUGCAGGCCAGACUCGAUAGCAUAGCCACACUAAACCUCUCGCGCUGCCAUCAGAUUAUUUUGUCUCAGGUCUCUUCGGGCGUAGUGUUCUCAGUAAUAAUCCAAGGCUUGGAAAAAUCAAGCCAACCGGUUGAGAAGGCAAUUGUGCUACUUGACGACAUUGUUUCUUCAUCGAAGACUGCGCUCAAGGAAACUGCAGGUACGUGCAGCACAAUCUGGGUGCUGGUUGAGACAAUCGAAGGGGGAUCGAUGAAAUGCAAGGAGCACGCAGCGAGUAUACUCCUGCUUAUAUGCAAGAGGUGCAGAGAGAACUACAGAGGACUGAUACUGAGAGGAGGAGCAAUGCCCGGACUGCUUCAGCUGAGUGGAUGGGACGCGCACGGCUAACACUGCGGCAUGGAAGUUGCUGUUUCUUUUGACUGUUCCAAUUAUGGUUCGAGAAACAAGCAAUCAAGGAAUAAGUUGACGGUGUGAGUACAACGGCAUUGAGACCGUUCCAAUUAUGCAGGAAAUUGAUGCAGAAGGAGAAAAAGUUGACAGGGUGAGUACAACGGCAUUGAGGCUGGUGGAGGACAUGCUUGCAGAGAUCAGCAGUGGACGAUGAUCUCGACCAAAUUCUGAGCUUUACCAAGAAGAUUAAAAUGUUGGAACAGCCGUUUAUCUCGUUUAUUGAACAAACGAUGAGGACAACAAUGCCGUCUAGCCUCUUUCAAAAUUUAGACUUCUUUCUCAUAAAAAUUGACAGAAUCUACGGUUGAAUUAAAGUCCAACAGGCAAAUUGAAAACAAUCACAAGAGCUUAGAAAAUACCACACCAACAUUUGGCCAGCAGUCUCACAACAAAUCCCACUGUCAAGAUAAAACCAUUCAACAGUGUAUUGGAACAACAAAUUUCAGUUGUGUAAGCAAUCAACAUAAAGGAACACUGAAUACUUUUGUAACUAUAUAUGGAUUAGCUUCGGGAAUUCAUCAAACCCUCCAAAAAAGAACGUAUAGUGUAGCUACCAUAUUCUCCUUUCAUAUAAGAGCUUAUUUAAUUAAUGUUAUAACACCUUUCUACCAAGAAAAAAAAGAAGAAAAUACGGCCUCUACACCCGUGGCAAAACCCGACAUGGAUUAGAGUACGUUUCAGCCUAACCUUCUGUAAAAGCUAUAGGCCACAGCCACUGUUACCACUGCUCCAACCACGGCAGCAGCUGCGAGAACAUCGCUUUGCUCCCAGUUCCCGAUCAAGCUUGACAGCUUCCCUAGGGAAUCCUUCCUGGCACAAGACUCUCUGGUUUCUUUCACCUUCUUUUCCUCACUUCCAUCGUUCUGCUCUAAACUUACUUCUUUGCAGCAUGUAAAUCCUUUACUAUUUGCACCCUGGCAACAGCCUGAAAGGUUCUCAUUAUUCUGAAUCUGAUUGCCGUUUUCUUGGGGCUUCUCCUCGAUUUUCUUUCUCCUCCAUUUGGAAGCUUCUGGUCAUUAAUUUUUUCAGCUUCAUCCGAAGAUGCUCCCAUUUUGCCCCUGUAAGGAAUGAAAUUGAAUUUCAAGUUCAGCCAUAUAAAGAUUCAACUCUAUGUUUCAUCAAUAGCAAUCGAGUAAGGACAUGUAUGAUCAAGCUUAAUAAACAAUUUGACAACAGUGCCUACUUGACCCCGGCCCCCCUUCCCCAAAACCACCUUUGGUUUGGUUUAUCUAUAAAAA
rnacentral:lncRNA from 1 species